CUCUCUCUCCUCUAACCAUGGCGGCGGCAACAUCGUCUUCUCCGAUCUCCUUAACCGCUAAACCUUCUUCCAAAUCCCCUCUACCCAUUUCCAGAUUCUCCCUUCCCUUCUCCUUAACCCCACAGAAAGACUCCUCCCGUCUCCACCGUCCUCUCGCCAUCUCCGCCGUUCUCAACUCACCCGUCAAUGUCGCACCUCCUUCCCCUGAAAAAACCGACAAGAACAAGACUUUCGUCUCCCGCUACGCUCCCGACGAGCCCCGCAAGGGUGCUGAUAUCCUCGUCGAAGCCCUCGAGCGUCAAGGCGUCGAAACCGUCUUUGCUUAUCCCGGAGGUGCUUCCAUGGAGAUCCACCAAGCCUUGACUCGCUCCUCCACCAUCCGUAACGUCCUUCCCCGUCACGAACAAGGAGGAGUCUUCGCCGCCGAGGGUUACGCUCGUUCCUCCGGCAAACCGGGAAUCUGCAUAGCCACUUCGGGUCCCGGAGCUACCAACCUCGUCAGCGGGUUAGCAGACGCGAUGCUUGACAGUGUUCCUCUUGUCGCCAUUACAGGACAGGUCCCUCGCCGGAUGAUCGGUACUGACGCCUUCCAAGAGACGCCAAUCGUUGAGGUAACGAGGUCUAUUACGAAACAUAACUAUUUGGUGAUGGAUGUUGAUGACAUACCUAGGAUCGUUCAAGAAGCUUUCUUUCUAGCUACUUCCGGUAGACCCGGACCGGUUUUGGUUGAUGUUCCUAAGGAUAUUCAGCAGCAGCUUGCGAUUCCUAACUGGGAUCAACCUAUGCGCUUACCUGGCUACAUGUCUAGGUUGCCUCAGCCUCCGGAAGUUUCUCAGUUAGGUCAGAUCGUUAGGUUGAUCUCGGAGUCUAAGAGGCCUGUUUUGUACGUUGGUGGUGGAAGCUUGAACUCGAGUGAAGAACUGGGGAGAUUUGUCGAGCUUACUGGGAUCCCCGUUGCGAGUACUUUGAUGGGGCUUGGCUCUUAUCCUUGUAACGAUGAGUUGUCCCUGCAGAUGCUUGGCAUGCACGGGACUGUGUAUGCUAACUACGCUGUGGAGCAUAGUGAUUUGUUGCUGGCGUUUGGUGUUAGGUUUGAUGACCGUGUCACGGGAAAGCUCGAGGCUUUCGCUAGCAGGGCUAAAAUUGUGCACAUAGACAUUGAUUCUGCUGAGAUUGGGAAGAAUAAGACACCUCACGUGUCUGUGUGUGGUGAUGUAAAGCUGGCUUUGCAAGGGAUGAACAAGGUUCUUGAGAACCGGGCGGAGGAGCUCAAGCUUGAUUUCGGUGUUUGGAGGAGUGAGUUGAGCGAGCAGAAACAGAAGUUCCCUUUGAGCUUCAAAACGUUUGGAGAAGCCAUUCCUCCGCAGUACGCGAUUCAGAUCCUCGACGAGCUAACCGAAGGGAAGGCAAUUAUCAGUACUGGUGUUGGACAGCAUCAGAUGUGGGCGGCGCAGUUUUACAAGUACAGGAAGCCGAGACAGUGGCUGUCGUCAUCAGGCCUCGGAGCUAUGGGUUUUGGACUUCCUGCUGCGAUUGGAGCGUCUGUGGCGAACCCUGAUGCGAUUGUUGUGGAUAUUGACGGUGAUGGAAGCUUCAUAAUGAACGUUCAAGAGCUGGCCACAAUCCGUGUAGAGAAUCUUCCUGUGAAGAUACUCUUGUUAAACAACCAGCAUCUUGGGAUGGUCAUGCAAUGGGAAGAUCGGUUCUACAAAGCUAACAGAGCUCACACUUAUCUCGGGGACCCGGCAAGGGAGAACGAGAUCUUCCCUAACAUGCUGCAGUUUGCAGGAGCUUGCGGGAUUCCAGCUGCGAGAGUGACGAAGAAAGAAGAACUCCGAGAAGCUAUUCAGACAAUGCUGGAUACACCAGGACCAUACCUGUUGGAUGUGAUAUGUCCGCACCAAGAACAUGUGUUACCGAUGAUCCCAAGUGGUGGCACUUUCAAAGAUGUAAUAACAGAAGGGGAUGGUCGCACUAAGUACUGAGAGAUGAAGCUGGUGAUCGAUCAUAUGGUAAAAGACUUAGUUUCAGUUUCCAGUUUCUUUUGUGUGGUAAUUUGGGUUUGUCAGUUGUUGUACUACUUUUGGUUGUUCCCAGACGUACUCGCUGUUGUUGUUUUGUUUCCUUUUUCUUUUAUAUAUAAAUAAACUGCUUGGGUUUUUUUUCAUAUGUUUGGGACUCAAUGCAAGGAAUGCUACUAGACUGCGAUUAUCUACUAAUCUUGCUAGGAAAUGGCACUUUACAUUGGGUGUGAUUGUCAUAUUUUCAGUUUUUUAGCUACGAGAACGAUGAAAGUUCAGAUUUCACACACUAUAUAUAUGUUUGAUCGAUGUUGUAUGCUCUUAAACAUUUCUAUCUUUCCUUUUCUCAUAUUAUCCAUCACACUCUUUAAUAUGAUGUAAAUUGCUUCUUCUCUAAGCUACACCAGUCGUAAGCAACAUACGAAGAAGCUUUUUGAAAACAUCUUUUAUUCUCUCAUCACACUUUGUGUAUGUGUCAAUAACAUGUCAACUUCAUCUGUGUUGAAAUAAACAUUCGGUUCAUUGUAACAACAAUAAUUUCUGUCUUUUUUUUUUAUCAACACAAUAAUUUUCUGUCUUACACCUAAGUAACACAUGUUCUUUCGUUCUCCCCAUUUUUAUUUAAGUGCGACACUUCAAACCCAUUAACAGAUCAAACAACCAAAUCACAUACAGCAGCUUCACAUCAGAUCAACUUUAACACACCCCUAUGUCAUCGCAUUUCAUUCUCUCCCUGCUUAAAUGGUCACACUCUUAUACAAACCAUAAGCCUAGUGAUAUUUAUUAUUCCAGCGUCUUAUAGCCGCUGUCAAAUAUCAACCUACCAUACUAUUACAUCAUCAGAGAUAUUCCCGGUUUCUCUCUAAGCUUGACAAGAACACGUGAGACACAAUUCCGAACUCGGCUUUAGCAUUCUCUUAAAAGAUGGUAUGAUCAGGACCCUUGCCUCAUACCAACAUCUUGUGAUCACAGCUUCUUAAUAUCAAGACUUUUGUAGACGAUCAUCAUCCGAUUAUCACAAUGCCUUAUUUCCAAACUUGCGAUCAUAAUCAUAUUGACCCUUUACUGUCACAACGUCCUUUUGUAUCGAAAUUUAUUCCGAGCAAAACACUUACUUGUCCAAGAAAAAUAAGCUCCACAAUAAAAUUCUUUUGAGUCUUCCGACUCAUAUAACAUGAUCUAGCGAAAAUUUUAGAUUACAACCAGUCUUUAACUCCUUAAUCCGAAACUCAGCCUGUCGAAGACCAAAUCCAAAACCAAACGCCUCCAAGCUUUGAGCACUUUAUGAGUCUAUUAUGAUUGUCAUGUGAUUGAUCCCAUACCACAACAACCCAUGUCUUCUUAAUUUGAAACAAAAACUUACUAUGCCCCUCCAUGAGGACUUCUCCUCACAUCAGCUUCUUGAGAGUUUAUAUGGAUAUUCAAUCUUGUUCUGAACACUCAUGAUAGUUGCGAACCUCCCUUUCUGACAGCUGCAUCCAGUGAAUGGUGAACCUUAUGCACCACCAACCAUGAUGCAUCACAAAGCCUGAAUAAUUGCAUCACACACUGCCAUCACAUCUAUCUUAAUAUCUCUGUCGAUUAUGUCUGUUUCAAUAUGAGAACAAUAUUAAAAACAAACUCUCACACUAGAUGUUGGAAGUGAUCAUAAAUAAUAUAUAAUAAUAUAAAUAUACAUACCAACCCAGUCAUCACAAAUUGGUUUUAGUUAAAAACUUAUCGAACUUAAUAUGGUAUCAUAUCCCUAUCUACGCAAUCCAAUCCGAUCCGCAAUCCAACCCGAUCCGCAAUCCAAAGUUGGUCCAUCUAUAUUUUUCCGAAAGUUAAAAGAGCCAUCAAAUCUCGAGUGUGCUUACUAGAGACAAAGUCUCCCAAAUUGAAAGUUGAAAGUAAACAUAAAUAAUAUAUAAGAUAUAUGGGGUCAAUCCACUUAUCAAUUGGUUUCAGGUUCUAAGCUCAUCUAAUAUCAUAAACAACACAUGAGAGUCAGUCUACUCCUCCUUUACAUCCAACGACAUAGUCAAAACUUCUAAAAAAUCCCUAUUUUAUGUUAAAUAAUUAGUUUGAAUAAUGUAUAUUACUAUUAUUUGAAUUAAUUUUUUUGCAUUCGAAAAGUAAUUUUAAUUGUCAUGUUCUCCAUGAUUUUAUGUAAUUUUCGUAUUAAAUUUUUCACUUUAAAAGUUAAAUUGGUUAAAGUCAUUGGUACCCUUAAUGAAUAAAUUGGUUAAAGUCAUUGGUACCCUUAAUGAAUAAUUAUAUGGAUAUAUUAUAGUUAUAUAUUUAGUUAUAAAUAUUUAUAAUAAUAAAUUAAUCAAAAUAAGUAAAUAUCAUGAUAUCCUACGAAACAUACAUCAAUAAGUUUAUUCAAAAAUCAAAAGAUCAACAACUCUGAAUUCUCGUGAUAAUGCCAAACUUUUUUCCAUGAUCCUACCAUGUAUCCACCAAGGAAUUCCUCAAGCAAUAUACGACUGAUUACCAUUAAUUAAUCGAAAAUAAAUUCACAUGCCAUUCAUCAGAAAUGUAUCCAUGGAACUUCAUACUUCUCGGUCACAUCACUAAUUCAACUCUUUUAUUACUUCACUUACAAGUUCUCUUCCUCAUCUCCUUCAGAUAAUAUACUCCUAGGCUCCUAGCCACCAAUCCAUAAUCUACCCGAAACAAGAUCAGAUUUACAAGAUCUCUAGCAUGAAUCCUCUUUGGUACCAUUUGAAAUUUUGGAUUUUCAGGAUAUAUUUAUAUGUUUCAUCAAUGUGAUAUGUAAAUGCGUAAACUAAAGAAGACACAUAGUUUUUUCAUGAGGUUUUGUUCUCUCUACAUCCCCUAGACCUAGUCUAAAAAUAAAUAUACCAGACAAAUAAAACAAAUACAGUUUCAAAUGGGAUCAAAGUGUUAAGAAACGUUUUAGGGAGCUGUUUAUGCCACCUAUGCGCUAUGCCCUAUAAAACUGUGAAGAUUACUUUUACCAAAAAAAAAAAAAAAACUGAGAGUCUGUAUGGGGUAUUUUCGUAAACAAACAAAACCCUCACAAGCCUCGUUUUAUAAAAACGAUUCACGUUCACAAACUCAUUCAUCAUCUCUCUCUCCUCUAACCAUGGCGGCGGCAACAUCGUCUUCUCCGAUCUCCUUAACCGCUAAACCUUCUUCCAAAUCCCCUCUACCCAUUUCCAGAUUCUCCCUUCCCUUCUCCUUAACCCCACAGAAAGACUCCUCCCGUCUCCACCGUCCUCUCGCCAUCUCCGCCGUUCUCAACUCACCCGUCAAUGUCGCACCUCCUUCCCCUGAAAAAACCGACAAGAACAAGACUUUCGUCUCCCGCUACGCUCCCGACGAGCCCCGCAAGGGUGCUGAUAUCCUCGUCGAAGCCCUCGAGCGUCAAGGCGUCGAAACCGUCUUUGCUUAUCCCGGAGGUGCUUCCAUGGAGAUCCACCAAGCCUUGACUCGCUCCUCCACCAUCCGUAACGUCCUUCCCCGUCACGAACAAGGAGGAGUCUUCGCCGCCGAGGGUUACGCUCGUUCCUCCGGCAAACCGGGAAUCUGCAUAGCCACUUCGGGUCCCGGAGCUACCAACCUCGUCAGCGGGUUAGCAGACGCGAUGCUUGACAGUGUUCCUCUUGUCGCCAUUACAGGACAGGUCCCUCGCCGGAUGAUCGGUACUGACGCCUUCCAAGAGACACCAAUCGUUGAGGUAACGAGGUCUAUUACGAAACAUAACUAUUUGGUGAUGGAUGUUGAUGACAUACCUAGGAUCGUUCAAGAAGCUUUCUUUCUAGCUACUUCCGGUAGACCCGGACCGGUUUUGGUUGAUGUUCCUAAGGAUAUUCAGCAGCAGCUUGCGAUUCCUAACUGGGAUCAACCUAUGCGCUUACCUGGCUACAUGUCUAGGUUGCCUCAGCCUCCGGAAGUUUCUCAGUUAGGUCAGAUCGUUAGGUUGAUCUCGGAGUCUAAGAGGCCUGUUUUGUACGUUGGUGGUGGAAGCUUGAACUCGAGUGAAGAACUGGGGAGAUUUGUCGAGCUUACUGGGAUCCCCGUUGCGAGUACUUUGAUGGGGCUUGGCUCUUAUCCUUGUAACGAUGAGUUGUCCCUGCAGAUGCUUGGCAUGCACGGGACUGUGUAUGCUAACUACGCUGUGGAGCAUAGUGAUUUGUUGCUGGCGUUUGGUGUUAGGUUUGAUGACCGUGUCACGGGAAAGCUCGAGGCUUUCGCUAGCAGGGCUAAAAUUGUGCACAUAGACAUUGAUUCUGCUGAGAUUGGGAAGAAUAAGACACCUCACGUGUCUGUGUGUGGUGAUGUAAAGCUGGCUUUGCAAGGGAUGAACAAGGUUCUUGAGAACCGGGCGGAGGAGCUCAAGCUUGAUUUCGGUGUUUGGAGGAGUGAGUUGAGCGAGCAGAAACAGAAGUUCCCUUUGAGCUUCAAAACGUUUGGAGAAGCCAUUCCUCCGCAGUACGCGAUUCAGAUCCUCGACGAGCUAACCGAAGGGAAGGCAAUUAUCAGUACUGGUGUUGGACAGCAUCAGAUGUGGGCGGCGCAGUUUUACAAGUACAGGAAGCCGAGACAGUGGCUGUCGUCAUCAGGCCUCGGAGCUAUGGGUUUUGGACUUCCUGCUGCGAUUGGAGCGUCUGUGGCGAACCCUGAUGCGAUUGUUGUGGAUAUUGACGGUGAUGGAAGCUUCAUAAUGAACGUUCAAGAGCUGGCCACAAUCCGUGUAGAGAAUCUUCCUGUGAAGAUACUCUUGUUAAACAACCAGCAUCUUGGGAUGGUCAUGCAAUGGGAAGAUCGGUUCUACAAAGCUAACAGAGCUCACACUUAUCUCGGGGACCCGGCAAGGGAGAACGAGAUCUUCCCUAACAUGCUGCAGUUUGCAGGAGCUUGCGGGAUUCCAGCUGCGAGAGUGACGAAGAAAGAAGAACUCCGAGAAGCUAUUCAGACAAUGCUGGAUACACCAGGACCAUACCUGUUGGAUGUGAUAUGUCCGCACCAAGAACAUGUGUUACCGAUGAUCCCAAGUGGUGGCACUUUCAAAGAUGUAAUAACAGAAGGGGAUGGUCGCACUAAGUACUGAGAGAUGAAGCUGGUGAUCGAUCAUAUGGUAAAAGACUUAGUUUCAGUUUCCAGUUUCUUUUGUGUGGUAAUUUGGGUUUGUCAGUUGUUGUACUACUUUUGGUUGUUCCCAGACGUACUCGCUGUUGUUGUUUUGUUUCCUUUUUCUUUUAUAUAUAAAUAAACUGCUUGGGUUUUUUUUCAUAUGUUUGGGACUCAAUGCAAGGAAUGCUACUAGACUGCGAUUAUCUACUAAUCUUGCUAGGAAAUGGCACUUUACAUUGGGUGUGAUUGUCAUAUUUUCAGUUUUUUAGCUACGAGAACGAUGAAAGUUCAGAUUUCACACACUAUAUAUAUGUUUGAUCGAUGUUGUAUGCUCUUAAACAUUUCUAUCUUUCCUUUUCUCAUAUUAUCCAUCACACUCUUUAAUAUGAUGUAAAUUGCUUCUUCUCUAAGCUACACCAGUCGUAAGCAACAUACGAAGAAGCUUUUUGAAAACAUCUUUUAUUCUCUCAUCACACUUUGUGUAUGUGUCAAUAACAUGUCAACUUCAUCUGUGUUGAAAUAAACAUUCGGUUCAUUGUAACAACAAUAAUUUCUGUCUUUUUUUUUUAUCAACACAAUAAUUUUCUGUCUUACACCUAAGUAACACAUGUUCUUUCGUUCUCCCCAUUUUUAUUUAAGUGCGACACUUCAAACCCAUUAACAGAUCAAACAACCAAAUCACAUACAGCAGCUUCACAUCAGAUCAACUUUAACACACCCCUAUGUCAUCGCAUUUCAUUCUCUCCCUGCUUAAAUGGUCACACUCUUAUACAAACCAUAAGCCUAGUGAUAUUUAUUAUUCCAGCGUCUUAUAGCCGCUGUCAAAUAUCAACCUACCAUACUAUUACAUCAUCAGAGAUAUUCCCGGUUUCUCUCUAAGCUUGACAAGAACACGUGAGACACAAUUCCGAACUCGGCUUUAGCAUUCUCUUAAAAGAUGGUAUGAUCAGGACCCUUGCCUCAUACCAACAUCUUGUGAUCACAGCUUCUUAAUAUCAAGACUUUUGUAGACGAUCAUCAUCCGAUUAUCACAAUGCCUUAUUUCCAAACUUGCGAUCAUAAUCAUAUUGACCCUUUACUGUCACAACGUCCUUUUGUAUCGAAAUUUAUUCCGAGCAAAACACUUACUUGUCCAAGAAAAAUAAGCUCCACAAUAAAAUUCUUUUGAGUCUUCCGACUCAUAUAACAUGAUCUAGCGAAAAUUUUAGAUUACAACCAGUCUUUAACUCCUUAAUCCGAAACUCAGCCUGUCGAAGACCAAAUCCAAAACCAAACGCCUCCAAGCUUUGAGCACUUUAUGAGUCUAUUAUGAUUGUCAUGUGAUUGAUCCCAUACCACAACAACCCAUGUCUUCUUAAUUUGAAACAAAAACUUACUAUGCCCCUCCAUGAGGACUUCUCCUCACAUCAGCUUCUUGAGAGUUUAUAUGGAUAUUCAAUCUUGUUCUGAACACUCAUGAUAGUUGCGAACCUCCCUUUCUGACAGCUGCAUCCAGUGAAUGGUGAACCUUAUGCACCACCAACCAUGAUGCAUCACAAAGCCUGAAUAAUUGCAUCACACACUGCCAUCACAUCUAUCUUAAUAUCUCUGUCGAUUAUGUCUGUUUCAAUAUGAGAACAAUAUUAAAAACAAACUCUCACACUAGAUGUUGGAAGUGAUCAUAAAUAAUAUAUAAUAAUAUAAAUAUACAUACCAACCCAGUCAUCACAAAUUGGUUUUAGUUAAAAACUUAUCGAACUUAAUAUGGUAUCAUAUCCCUAUCUACGCAAUCCAAUCCGAUCCGCAAUCCAACCCGAUCCGCAAUCCAAAGUUGGUCCAUCUAUAUUUUUCCGAAAGUUAAAAGAGCCAUCAAAUCUCGAGUGUGCUUACUAGAGACAAAGUCUCCCAAAUUGAAAGUUGAAAGUAAACAUAAAUAAUAUAUAAGAUAUAUGGGGUCAAUCCACUUAUCAAUUGGUUUCAGGUUCUAAGCUCAUCUAAUAUCAUAAACAACACAUGAGAGUCAGUCUACUCCUCCUUUACAUCCAACGACAUAGUCAAAACUUCUAAAAAAUCCCUAUUUUAUGUUAAAUAAUUAGUUUGAAUAAUGUAUAUUACUAUUAUUUGAAUUAAUUUUUUUGCAUUCGAAAAGUAAUUUUAAUUGUCAUGUUCUCCAUGAUUUUAUGUAAUUUUCGUAUUAAAUUUUUCACUUUAAAAGUUAAAUUGGUUAAAGUCAUUGGUACCCUUAAUGAAUAAAUUGGUUAAAGUCAUUGGUACCCUUAAUGAAUAAUUAUAUGGAUAUAUUAUAGUUAUAUAUUUAGUUAUAAAUAUUUAUAAUAAUAAAUUAAUCAAAAUAAGUAAAUAUCAUGAUAUCCUACGAAACAUACAUCAAUAAGUUUAUUCAAAAAUCAAAAGAUCAACAACUCUGAAUUCUCGUGAUAAUGCCAAACUUUUUUCCAUGAUCCUACCAUGUAUCCACCAAGGAAUUCCUCAAGCAAUAUACGACUGAUUACCAUUAAUUAAUCGAAAAUAAAUUCACAUGCCAUUCAUCAGAAAUGUAUCCAUGGAACUUCAUACUUCUCGGUCACAUCACUAAUUCAACUCUUUUAUUACUUCACUUACAAGUUCUCUUCCUCAUCUCCUUCAGAUAAUAUACUCCUAGGCUCCUAGCCACCAAUCCAUAAUCUACCCGAAACAAGAUCAGAUUUACAAGAUCUCUAGCAUGAAUCCUCUUUGGUACCAUUUGAAAUUUUGGAUUUUCAGGAUAUAUUUAUAUGUUUCAUCAAUGUGAUAUGUAAAUGCGUAAACUAAAGAAGACACAUAGUUUUUUCAUGAGGUUUUGUUCUCUCUACAUCCCCUAGACCUAGUCUAAAAAUAAAUAUACCAGACAAAUAAAACAAAUACAGUUUCAAAUGGGAUCAAAGUGUUAAGAAACGUUUUAGGGAGCUGUUUAUGCCACCUAUGCGCUAUGCCCUAUAAAACUGUGAAGAUUACUUUUACCAAAAAAAAAAAAAAAACUGUGACGAUUACCUUUUGAACUGCAGAAAUACUUACUAAUAAUAAAUAAUAUAUAUAUAAUUUAUUAUUCAUAAAUUAUAAUAAUCAUCUUAUAUGUUAAAUGAGAAGUCACUUACGUGACUUUUCCUUAUGUGUCACACUUACUUGUGAAGUCUUAUGAACUUUUUAAAAUUUAAUUGGUUGAUGAUUUUUAAUUUUUAUUUAUUGUAAUAAUUAAGAUCUAAAAAUUUAAGGUAAGUGUAGAAUCAAUAUACAUUACUUUCCAAAUAAUGUAAAAAAUAUUUCAAAUCAUAACUUAUGGUAACUAAUUUUCGAAGUUAGAGAAAGGCUAAUAAUGUUUGAUCAAUUAUUUUUGAUAUUUAUAAACUAUAUAAUAUAGCGAACAAAAAAAACUAUCUAAAAAUAAAUAUAAUAAUUUUAUAUUUUACAUAAUGAAUUAUAUUCAUAUAUUCAUAUAUAAUGACUUUAAAAUCAUAUCAAGUCCACACAUGCUUUAUAAAUCAUUAAUAAUGUUUUUAAAGACUUAAAACUUAUUUAUAAUCUAUUAAAAAAUCAAUUUAUCCCAAUUUUAAAAUAAUUUAUAAAAUUAUAAAAAUCAUUUAUAAAAAUGUAAAUUAUUUAUUUAACAAGAAGUCACUUAAGUUACACUUUCUUAUGUGUCUACUGUCCAUCAUUGGUGAAGUCUUAAACAUUUCUUAUAAUUUAGUUGGUCGAUGAUUUCUAAUUUUUAUUUCAUUUAUUUUGAUUUAAAAAAUAUAUAUUACGUCCAGAACAAAUUAAUAUCACUUUCCAAAUAAUCGAAUAAUAUUACAAAUGGUGAUUUAUGGUAACUAAUUAUUGAAAUUAUAGAAAGAGUUAUGAUGUUUGAUUAAUUAUUUUUAUAUUUAUAAACUAUAUAAUUAAAAAAUAUAUAUAAAUGAAUAUAAUAAUUUUAUAUUUUACAUCAAAAAUUAUAUUCAUAUAUAAGUGUAUAAUAACUAUAGUGUAUUAUAUAAUUCAUACAAGCCCUAUAAAUCAUUUAUAUAAAUUCAAUAACAUUUAUAAAAUUAAUGAUGAUGGUUUAAAUAUUAUUUUAUCAGAAAAUUUAAAUAAUUUAUAAGAACUUAUAAAUUAUUUAUUAGAGAAAAUUAGAAAAAUUAAAAAACAAUUAGAAAUUUACAAUAGAAAAAUGUUAUGUAUUCAAUUAAAAAUAAAAUAAAAUAAAUGUGAUAAUUAGAUAUCAAUAUAAAUGUGUGAUUAUUGCAAUGCACACUGAAGAAUAUAUAUGUUAAUCGUUCAAUAUAUAAGCUUUAAAGACAUAUGAUAAUUUUGCAAUUAUAAAAUAUUUCGUGUUUAAGUCAAAGAGACCAUAAAUAUAGUAGAUAAGAUAAUGUGAUGAUUGAAAAAAGAUUUUAAAAUGGAUUUUUUGGUUCAAUGAUUUUUUUUUUUUGAUGAAAUUUCAAAUUUAUUGAUCAAUCAUGAAAGAGUUUCAUUUACAAAAGAAUCAGGCUACGAAGAAUAUACUGUAAAGAAUAAUGUGUGAUUAUAUGGAAUUCCAUCUUCUAAACUAGUUGGUGAGCGGAAACCAUCUCUGCAGAAGUCCAGCGUUUCGAUGCUGCGGACCAUACUUCAGUGACAUGAUUCUGUUCUUCAUCGACCUAUCAAUAACCUUUCGCAGCUGGUCCAUGGAUGUCCAUUUACCCUGGUGCCGCCUCGUAUUUCUUUCCCUCCAUACAUAGUAAAUGACUGUUUGAAAGAUCAUCUUGAUUAGGAUGGAAUCAAGACGAUUCAACCUGUUUCGCUGGAUCGCAUUGAGUGUGAGGGUCCAGUCGGAGUUUGUCCUCUGGCCAAAGAAGCCUCUCACCAGACUUUCCCAAACUGUGAAUGAGUAAGGACAAGCAAAAAAGAGAUGAUCUAUUGUCUCGUCCCACUCUCCACAGAGUCCACAACCCUGCGUGAUACCCUAACUCCUCGUCCUGUCUCUAGUAGACAGCAUGUUCUGUACUGCUAGCCAAGUGAUAAAUGCGUACCUAGGAACACUCUGCGUGAACCAAACGACCCUGCACCAUUCAACCUUCGGCUUCUUGAUCCUUAUCUGCUCCCAAGUCUUUGCAGUACAGAACUUAUCCUGGAAAUCAUCCUCUCCUUGCUUCCCCAGAACCAGAUCAGUUCCCCUAUCUGCAUCAGGGACAGGCUCUGUAAGAAUCUGAUUAUAUAACACGUGAAACCUUCUGCUGCGCUUGUUUCUCAUACUCCAGCCAUAACCUGAACCCGCAUCACACACCAGUGCUUUUCGAGGAAGACCCAAAUACGUAGUGCCAAUGGCUCCUGUGACUUCGAUUAAUUUCCUCAUACCCAUCUAAUUAUCGAACCAGAAAUGUAUAGUUUAUCCAUCUCGAACCUCUAUUUUCAUGAACUCAUAGGCCAUGUCUGUAACACCCCCGAACCGUCCCUUGGCAUAGGUCAACCCACCGGCCAACAAUCAAACAAGAACAUGACCGACGGACGACCCACACCAAGGGUUGGAGAUGAAAGGCCAACCGGCCAGCCAACAAUCAAACAAGAACAUGACUGACCGUCCAACCCAACACCAUGGUCCGGGAGCGCUACGUGACGGGUUAGAGACGAUCCGGCCAGAGUCACAAAAUUUACUCCACGACCUCGACCAGUUCGUCCACUAACACGUCCCGCUGCGUCAAGGCACAAGGCUUUGCAACCUGUACCUAGAGUUAGCGUUUUCCGUUAGAUCGAGGCCUAAAGCUUUUCAACCCGUACCACGACCUAACGUUGUGUUAGACCCGACUAGUCAAAUAUCAGAGUACUCAUGUAGCACAUAUAAAACAAUUACUUUUAUUGAUUUAAGAAAUAUUCAUACAUUGAAUAAUUCCAGACUGGGCCCGGCCUAAUGCCAAAUCGAGUCAACAUAACACAAUUCACAAUACCGUUUACAAAAGGCAUGAAAAUCUACACCGGCGGUCCUAACGUCCAGCACCAAGCUAUCCGAUCAUCCUUACCUAAAGCGACCUGCAAAAAGGACAACGGAGUUGGAUGAGUAACCUAAUGUUACUCAGUGAGCUGGCGGCCUCUACCCGCAACCUAGACUCUACCCAGACAACCCAAAAUAACAAUCAAUCUAGCCCUAGCAUGCAAUAAAAGCUAAGGCUAAGCAAACCGUUACUAAGUUAGACUUGGCCUCCUGCCAUGAUCUAGCUUCAAGUAACGGGAACCUGCAUUAAAACAAGUCAACAAGCAAUCCCUAGUUAACCAUAUAUACGCUUGAGUUCAAUACUCAUGUAGUGUUAGACACUUAGACUAUACAAGUAUCAUUAGUCGAUCGACCAACAAUCAAACAAGAACAUGAUCGGCCAACCAAUGAUACCGCAUAGCUUUAAUAUCCACCACCCUUCACAAGCAAUCACUCAAACACAUAUAGGCCAACGUCAGGCCUACACUAACAAAAUACACAUCAAGCCUAAUCCGGUACCUAAACCAGACUUAGGACUUAAUGUCAGAACCUGCAAGCAAAUCAAUCAACCACAAACACAAUCACAAUAAUAAGACUAUGAGUAACUACGACUCGAUCUAACUUGUAACACCGUAUAUCGGUGCUACACUAACUCGAGGGUUCCAUAACCCUCUACGACACUCUAACACAACACUCUAACCUGGGCCCUGGUGACUUCGUGUUCCUCCUCUCUAUCGGCAAUAUCCUAUCUCCCUACCACAAAGGCCAGAAGAAGGAACUUUCAACCGACCGCGGCCCACAGUCCUUCGGGUCACCGCGCGACAGCCCACAGUCCUUCGGGUCACUGCCACAUUACACCGUCGUGUAAUCACUCAGCCAUAGGCCAUGACCCCGUCUCUCUGAGUCUUCCCGAUCCAGCGAAUAAGGGGUUUCCUUGAACCCGCUGGGUACGAGGUCUGAAGGAACACUAACUCACCCCUACACAAGCCUAGUAUGGGCGGGUCACGCACAUACUGUCGGCACACUCACAACAAAACAAACUCAAUCUAGAACCUAACCUAAAGCUAAAGUUCCAGAUCCUAACUAGACACUCGACUCUACAACACAAACCAAUAGUACCAGUAGUCCGGCCUAUAUGGCCUAAGACCCUUAGUACUAACUACUAAACAAUAAUAUCAAUACUAAACAACACAAUCAAACCGUUACCCAGAUAGUCCAGCCUCCCGCUGAGAAACUAUCUUUAAAGAUAACGGGAACCUGCACUCAACAAUAUCAACACGCAAUAAUAGAAAACAUGAUGCAUCCUAGCCCUAGUCCUAGUCAGGUUAUUAACUCAGUCUUAAUUCCAUUCAUCUCAGCUUAGCCCUUGCUAAACUGAGUCCGGUUCCAUAAAUAAAAUAACCCUAAGGACUCUACCAUUCAAUAGCGUGAUCAUUCUAAUCUAUAUGCAGACUCGAUCUACCCUAAAUUCCAAGUGGAAUUCAAACAAACCAACUCACAGUGUUCUAGGCGAGAAGCAGCUGGUUGAUCGGAGAAGACUUGGCCAAAACCCAAUGGACGCCUUGACUGGACUGGAAUGGACUGAUCUUGUCUUGGACACAACCUUGGCUUCACCAUGAAGAAGUUGACAGGCCUCGACAGGCUGAUCUGGACUCGGACAGAACCUCCUCUAGCUUCUGGACAGUUCUUCGGACUUCCCGCGGAGUAUCGAGCAGAACUUCGACUGAUCUGAACCCGUGGUUCUGAACUAACUCUGGGCAGCACCUCCACUAGACCAUCAUAGAAUAUGACUGGCUUGGACGAAUUGAAUUGGACAGAGCUUCCGCGUCACAAUCGUAGAGAAUCGCCGAUUGGACGGAACUGGCCUUCUCGGUGGAGUAUCGGUCUUCAGAAUCGACCAUACUCUAGAAUCGAUCACUUCCUUUCUCUCUCUCUCUCUCUCUCUCUCUAUAGCCACGUUGACUUGACUCCCAUCUGAUCUGAUCUUCACUUGAUUGACCUUCAGUUGGACAGAACCUUCCCAAGGCGAUGACUCGAAAUCAAUAGAGAACUGAUCUCGAAAACUCUCUAAAACUCUCGAAAUAGCUCGGAAUCACUUGCUUUCUUUUUCUACUUUUCUCUCAAGGUUUUAACUUGGUUUGGACAGGUCUGGAUGUGAAGAAAUGAGCUGGGGUCGUGGGGUAUUUAUAGGAGACACCAGCCAAUCAGCUUCAGGUUGGUGGCAGCCCGUGUGUCGCUCCGCAUGGCUCCGGACGCAUGCACGGCGACACCUCGUGCUCCACAUGGCUGGCUGCAUGUCCAGGACACAUGCAGGACGCCACCACUCCUCCCAGAUGUCAGGCUGCAUGACUGGAGCUCAUGCAAGGCGCCACAGCAUCACACACAUGUCGAUCAGCAUGCUUCGGUUGCAUGCGUCGCGACAUCUCGUGCUUGGCUAAUCCACCUCGUGCUCCUACAUGUCAAGCUGCAUGUGCAGCUUCCAUGCACGGCGACACCUCGAGCUUCUCUUGACACUCAGCUGGUUAGACAGUUGCCACCACGUUCUUAUCCCUUCUGAUCAAGCCACCUCGAGCUUCUCGGUUUCUUUGCGCGAUUUCGACCCUUCUUGUGAAUUUUUGACCCGCGAUCAAUCCCGAAUAUUUUUCCGCUCCCAUUCUGAUUCUCUGAAUAUUUUUAAUAAACUACAGAUGAUGUCUGAUAUCCUUUAAAAAUAUUUCCCGAGCCUCCGGCUUCCUCAAAGAAUUUCGUAAUACCGAAAUUAGGGUUUUCGCCCAACUUCGGGUUUUCCCGUCGUGCUUCCAUCCCGUCGUGCUUGCUUCCCGUCCUGCUUAAUUCCCGUCCUGCUUCCGACUUAUAAUGUCUUCAGAAUAAUAUUUUACUGAUACGAAGAUAUUCCGAGAAAACUUCGUGAUGAAGAAACGUCAGUCUUCAAAAACGUCGAGCUUCUAAACCGUCGUGCUUCCAAAAAUGUUAUGCUUCCAAAACAUCCUUCUGAUCAAUCUAACACUUUUCUAACCAUGGUCCAGCAGCUUAUGGUUCACCCAUGAUCAAUUCUUCGACCAUCCAUUGCCCGCGGUAUGACCACUAAAUAAUAAUUUUUUUUUUUAACGGGUUUCUACAUUCUCCCCCCCUUAAUAGAAUUCGUCCUCGAAUUCUUGGUUGCGCAAUUGCUCGUCUUCACAACAUUCUCCACUCAUCUCCAUAACCUCUUUACGCUGUCCACCACGGUUCCUUGAGUGUCCUCUUCAAGGCCUCCACAAUUGUCUUCAUAUCUCAUCACUGGAAUGAUCACUGAGUCAUCCUCUUUCUUUUACUCUGCCAUAACACCCUCAUUGCCCAUGAUACUAUCUUGUCCAGAUUCCUCAAAUCCUUUCUCGAUCUUUGUCUUCCCAAUUACUGAUGAAGUCCUUCCCCAAUGAAGUCUUGUUUCCUCCCAUCUGUCCAGUCCAUACCACAGCCCAGUUCUCUGAAUCUGUCUCUCCUCUUUCGCUUCGGGUUUGGGUUUGGCCUUGAACUCCCUCCACUUUAAGGUUUUCAUCCCUUAAAGUUCCGAUCAACAAACAUACUUACUCGCUGCAACUCAAAAGAACACUUAACAUGCAAGUUAGUAGACAAUUAAUCAAAUAAUCUACUAACCUAGCAAAUACUAACAAUGCAACCUAACCGCAAUUCUAACCAGCAACCUAACAGUUCUACCCAAGCAACCUAACAGUUCUAGAUUCCACUAUCUCAAUCCUAAUUUCCUAAAACCACAAAUCCUAUCGCUGGACGUGACCGGUUUCCCUAAUGCCUUUUGUGACUCAUUUUGACUCGAUAAAUAUUUAAAACCGAUUAAAUCAUGAGUUCCGGAAGCAUGGACGAAACCAUGCUCUGAUACCACCUCUGUAACACCCCCGAACCGUCCUAAGCAUAGGUCGACCCACCGGCCAACAAUCAAACAAGAACAUGACCGACGGACGACCCACACCAAGGGUUGGAGAUGAAAGGCCAACCGGCCAGCCAACAAUCAAACAAGAACAUGACUGACCGUCCAACCCAACACCAUGGUCCGGAAGCGCUACGUGACGGGCUAGGGACAAUCCGGUCAGAGUCACAAACUUUACUCCACGACCUAGACCAGUUCAUCCACUAACUCGUCCCGCUGCGUCAAGGCAUAAGGCUUUGCAACCCGUACCUAGAGUUAGCGUUUUCCGUUAGAUCAAGGCCUAAGGCUUUUCAACCCGUACCUCGACCUAACGUUGUGUUAGACCGGACUAGUCAAAUAUCAGAGUACUCAUGAAGCGCAUAUAAAACAAUUACUUUUAUUGAUUCAAGAAAUAUUCAUACAUUGAAUAAUUCAAGACUGGGCCCGGCCUAAUGCCAAAUCGAGUCAACAUAACACAAUUCACAAUACCGUUUACAAAAGGCAUGAAAAUCUACACCGGCGGUCCUAACGUCCAGCACCAAGCUAUCCGAUCAUCCUUACCUAAAGCGACCUGCAAAAAGGACAACGGAGUUGGAUGAGUAAUCUAGUAUUACUCAGUGAGCUGGCGGCCUCUACCCGCAACCUAGACUCUACCCAGACAACCCAAAAUAACAAUCAAUCUAGCCCUAGCAUGCAAUAAAAGCUAAGGCUAAGCAAACCGUUACUAAGUUAGACUUGGCCUCCUGCCAUGAUCUAGCUUCAAGUAACGGGAACCUGCAUUAAAACAAGUCAACAAGCAAUCCCUAGUUAACCAUAUAUACGCCUGAGUUCAAUACUCAUGUAGUGUUAGACACUUAGACUAUACAAGUAUCAUUAGUCGAUCGACCAACAAUCAAACAAGAACAUGAUCGGCCAACCAAUGAUACCGCAUAGCUUUAAUAUCCACCACCCUUCACAAGCAAUCCCUCAAACACAUACAGGCCAACGUCAGGCCUACACUAACAAAAUACACAUCAAGCCUAAUCCGGUACCUAAGCCAGACUUAGGACUUAAUGUCAGAACCUGCAAGCAAAUCAAUCAACCACAAACACAAUCACAAUAAUAAGACUAUGAGUAACUACGACUCGAUCUAACUUGUAACACCGUAUAUCGGUGCUACACUAACUCGAGGGUUCCAUAACCCUCUACGACACUCUAACACAACACUCUAACCUGGGCCCUGGUGACUUCGUGUUCCUCCUCUCUAUCGGCAAUAUCCUAUCUCCCUACCACAAAGGCCAGAAGAAGGAACUUUCAACCGACCGCGGCCCACAGUCCUUCGGGUCACCGCGCGACAGCCCACAGUCCUUCGGGUCACUGCCACAUUACACCGUCGUGUAAUCACUCAGCCAUAGGCCAUGACCCCGUCUAUCUGAGUCUUCCCGAUCCAGCGAAUAAGGGGUUUCCUUGAACCCGCUGAAUACGAGGGCGAGGAAACACUAGUCCACCCCAAAACAUGCCUAGCAUGGGCGGGUUUCGCACCUGCUGUCGGCAUAACACACACUCGACACAAUUAUCCCUAGGAAAGACCUAAGGGACAAGACUCCAACCCAAAACUAAACAACUCAACCAGUUAGUCACUCCCUUACCAAGAGAUGACUAACCUCAAUCAACAAGAUUAAUUAAACGAGCAAGCAUUUAAUUAAAUCUACUCAAUCAAUCUACUCAAUCAAACCGUUACCCAGAUAGUUCGGCCUCCUGCUACGACACUAUCUUUAAAGAUAACGGGAACCUGCACUCAAUCAUAUCAACACGCAAGAAUAGAAAACAUGAUGCAUCCUAGCCCUAGUCCUAGUCAGGUUAUCAACUCAGUCUUAAUUCCAUUCAUCUCAGCUUAGCCCUUGCUAAACUGAGUCCAGUUCCAUAAAUAAAUAACCCUAAGGACUCUACCAUUCAAUAGAUUGAUCAUUCCAAUCUAUAUGCUACUCGAUCUACCCUAAAUUCCAAAUGGAAUUCACACAAAACCAACUCACAGUGUUCUAGGCGAGAAGUAGCUGGUUGAUCGGAGAGGACUUGGCCAAAACCCAAGGGACGACUUGAAUGGAGUGGACUGGACUGAUCUCGACUUGGACUGAUCUUGACUUGGAAAGAACCUCGGCUUCACCAUGAAGAAACUGACAGGCCUCGACAAACUGAUCUGGACUCGGACAGAACCUCCUUUAGCUUCUGGACAGUUCUUCGGACUUCCCGGCGGAGUAUCGAGCAGAACUUCGACUGAUCUGAACCCGUAGAACUGAACUAACUCCGGACAGCAUCUCCACUUGAUCAUAAAAGGAACUGAGUGCCCUGGACGAAUUCAGUUGGACAGAACCGUCCCUAGGCGCUGACUCGAAAUCAGUAGAGAACUGACCUCGAAAACUCUCUAAAAUUCUCGAAAUAGCUCGGAAUCACUUCCUUUCUUUUUCUACUUCUCUCUCACGUUUUUAACUUGGUUUGGACAGGUCUGGAUGUGAAGAAAUGAGCUGGGGUCGUGGGGUAUUUAUAGGAGACACCAGCCAAUCAGCUUCAGGUUGGUGGCAGCCCGUGUGUCGCUUCGCAUGGCUCCGGACGCAUGCGCGGCGGCACCUCGUGCUCCACAUGUCAGGCUGCAUGUCCAGGACACAUGCAGGACGCCACCACUCCUCCCACAUGUCAGGAUGCAUGCCUGGAGUGCAUGCAAGAAGCCACACCAGUACACACAUGUCGAUCAGCAUGCUUCGGUUGCAUGCGCGGAGACACCUCGUGCUUGGUCGAUCCACCUCGUGCUUCUACAUGUCAGGCUGCAUGUACAGCUUCCAUGCACGGCGACACCUCGAGCUUCUGGAGACACUCAGCUUGUUAGAUGCUUGACACCACGUUCUGAACCCAUGCAACGAGCCACCUCGAGCUUCUCGGUCGGUUUACGCGAUUUUUUACCCUUCCGGCAAAUUUCUGACCCGUGAUCAAUCCCGAAUAUUUUUCCGCUCCCGUUCUGAUGCUCUAAAUAUUUUUAAUAGACUCCAGAUGAAUUCUGAUAUCCUGUAAAAAUAUUUCCCGAGCCUCCGGCUUCCUCGAAGAAUUCCAUAAUACCGAAAUUAGGGUUUUUGCCCGAUUUCGGGUUUUCCCCGUCGUGCUUCGAUCCCGUCGUGCUUGCUUCCCGUCCUGCUUAAUUCCCGUCCUGCUUCCAACUUAUUAUGUCUCCAGAAUAAUAUUUUACUGAUACGAAGAUUUUCCGAGAAAACUUCGUAAUGAAGAAACGUCGGUCUUCAAAACGUCGGUCUUCAAAACUUCGAGCUUCUGAAACGUCGUGCUUCCAAAAAUGUUAUGCUUCCAAAACUUUCGUCUGAUCAAUCUAAGACAUCUUCUAACUAUGGUCGAGCAGCUUAUUCGACUCAUAGUUCCCUCGCAAACAAUUCUUCGACCACCUCGUUCUUCGAAAUUUGCCGAUCGAUCCUUACCGCCCGCGGUUCGACCACCAAGUUGAUGUUCGACCAGUCUUCUCUUUUCUUCGAAUCAUGUCAAGUUUUAUGUGAUCAAAACUCAACAUUCCUCCUGAUACUUAGACUCCCAAAUGCUCGGCUCCACAUUCAUUUUUUUUUUUUUUAAUCCCGAAGGGCGGGUUAUCACAAUGUCCCUCAGCUUAAGUAAUUUCCACCAAAUCCAUGAUCCCUUAUUAUCAUCUCUUACAUCCCAAAAGGAACUCUGUCUAAGCAAGUAGCGCUUGAUCCAACAAACCCACAGUGAAGUUGGUUGAGUGAAAAUACGCCAUAUAAGCCUAAAGCAUAAACCUUAGAUGUAUCUCUAAGCGUCCUCAACCCAAGCCCUCUCUCCUCCUUAGGGUAACAUAAAUCUUCCCAGCUCACCUUUGCUUUCAGAGUUUGCAUAGGCGAUCCUGACCAAAGAAAGGCACUGCACAUGCUUUCUAUUGUGUCCAGACAGUUAUCAGGGAGUAUAAAAGCAGAGCUCCGAAAAUUCAUCAUGCUCACAAUAACCGACUGAAUCAAUUGGAAUCGCUCAGCGAAGGACAGGCUCUUGUUCGACCAGCAGAGCAUCUUCCUUCUGAUCUUAUCUAUCAAAGGCUCAUAGUCAUGAGUUGUUAAAGAUUUUGUGCUUAAUGGCAUACCUAAGUAUCGAAUAGGUAGGUUUCCAACUCCAAUUCCCAAUGCCUCCGCUUCAGUAAUCAUUAACAUAUGGUUACUUCCUGCUACAUAUAUUUGGGACUUUGCUUCAUUUAUAUGAAGUCCAUAUAUCUCUGCAAAUUCUUUCAGAACCUCCAUAAUCCCGUUUAAAGAUUCUGAGGUGCCAUCAAUAAAAACCAGGAUGUCGUCUGCGAAACUCAAAUGAGUGAGCUUGACUCCUUGGCACUGAGGAUGAUAAGCAAACUUCCCCUCUUCGGCUGCUUGGUUGAGCAAUUUUGAGAGCACAUUACUAAGAAUGACGUACAAGCUCCCUUAUUCCUCUGGCGCUCGUGAAGAAGCCUUCAAGACUUCCAUUUACUAAAACCGAGCAUCCCUGCCUUAUUCCUCUGGCGCUCGUGAAGAAGCCUUUGAUUGCACAUCUUGCUGAGCAGGAGGCCUUGUGAUAGCCAUUUAUCAGCUCAGAUGCCAAGAGAACAUUUUCCAACAGCAGCCUUUCUUUUAUGAAUGCACUCUGAUUCGCCUCUAUACCUCCUGGAAAUAUGAGCUUGAGCAUGUUAGCUAACACCUUCGAGAUUACCUUGUACAACAGAUUGCAGCAUGCUAUGGGCCUGAAGUCUUUCAUCAUCUGUGCAUUUUCGGUCUUCGGGAUCAAUGUUAGACUUGUUGCAUUUAUUCAUGUAGGGAGAAAUCCAAAGAGGAAGAAAGACUGAAUCGCAGUAAUGAAAUCUCUGCCAAUCACAGGCCAAGCCGCAGCGUAGAAUUAUUUUGUGUAGCCGUCAGGUCAUCAUAUAUCUCGCGUCCUGAGACAGGAGCAACCAGCUGUGCACAUACACCUCCUGGGCACCUAUACGUCAGUAGACCACAGAGAUCAGCACCCGUACCCUCUAGUCCAGUGAUAUCCUGCGUUUGUAAGAAUCUUUGGAAGUGUGAGACCGCUGCUCUCUUAAUGUCAAUAGAUGCAGUAAGAAUUCUCCAAUCUCUGUAGUGAGGCUUUGAAUAGCGUUUCUAGCAGUCCAAGUCUGAACGAAACGAUGAUAGAAAACCGUAUUCAGAUCUCCAGCCUGCAGCCAUCUUAUACACGACUUCUGUAACCAAAAUUUCUCCUCUAUUCUUGCAAGCUUCUGCCAGCGAGCGGAAGCCUUAGACUCUUGAGAACAUUUUAGAGGGCUGGGGUCAGUGAGCACUCUGUUCUGACAAGCACAAAGCUCCUCAUAAGUUUGCUUGGUUCUGUUCGGUAAAUCACCAUAUCUGGUCCGGUUCAGAGCUCUUAGAUUGAACUUAAGCAGUUUUAAUUUCCUAUGAAAACAUGACAAAGUUGAACGAGAAUGGUAUAGCUUAGGCGAUGUAUCCCAAACUUCUUUGACAGUAUGUAGAAAAUCCUCAUGAUUUGCCAGAUAGUUAAAGAACCGAAAUGGCUUUCUUCAUCAAGGUCUCCUGAAAGCCUGACCAUACAUCUUGCAUGAUCUGAAACCCCUCCUGCUUCAAAUUUAGCAAAAGACUGAGGAUAUCUCUGCAGCCAUUCCCCAUUUACAAGAGCCCUGUCUAGUUUCUUCCCAAUAGGGUCCUCGUCUCUUUUCUUCCACCACGUAAAAAGAGCACCAAUAUAAGGUAGAUCCAGCAACACACAGUCGGUUGUAACUUCUUGAAAGUGCGUCAUACCCGUUUGAUCACUUCGAUAAUCCAAAGCGCGAGAGUGCUCGGUUGAGGAUAGAGUCACAUUAAAGUCCCCUACCAGAAUCCACAGGAGAUUAAGAAUAGAAUAUGCUGCUUUAGUUUCUCUCAGGUCUCUCCAAAGCUGUAUCCUCUCUACAGACGUAUUGUGGGCGUAGAUAGCUGAGCAAAUGAAUUGAUCCCCUGAUUCUGGUAUCUGAAUGGCACAUGUUAUGAUCUGAUCACUCAUGUGCAAUUUUGUUACCACCACCUCAUUUGACCAGCAAAACCAGAUUCUACCUAGACGAUGGUAUUCAUAAUUCGUCAAGACUUGCCAGUGAGGCAUAGCCGCUUCCAUACACUUCGUUAACUUCUCUUCUCGGACUCUUGUUUCUGCUAGACAGCCAAAAAUUGGUUUCUCAGCCUGAAUCCAACUUCUCACUGCUCUAUGUUCACAUGACAUGUUAAAUCCACGCAUAUUCCAAGCAAAGAAACUCGUCACAGCUUCCUUACAGAAGUUUUCUUUUGUUGUCCCUGCCUACCCCCAAACUUCAAAUCUUUUGCUUGAACUAUGGUCUUCUUUUUUGAUUUAUUUACUAAACCAACAUUUUGGCGCCUCCCUUUAACGGUCGAGACUUUAGAAGGCACUCCUCUCUUUUCAACUAAUUCACCCUCCUCGAUCUCAUCCUCCUCUUUGUUCAUAUCAUCCUCAUCCUUUUGUUCAAAUUCCCCAUCCUCCUGCUCCAAGUCCAAACGAGGGCUGAAUCUAGAAGGCGAGACCACUAUGUUGACUUCAUCAUCUUUAUUAAGCUCUGAACUCUCUGCAGAAUUGAGGUGUUGAUUGCCAUAUACCUGUGACCAAUUUCCCUCCACUGUAGCUGGAAAAGUCUCAGUUGUUGGCUCAGCAAUCCUAAUCUGUGGCAAAAUUUCAACAUUGUCUGUCUCACCAUCAUCAUGAGACUUUACCUCUAUGCGAGGCAGAGCCUGUUCCACCGGUGGUCCCUCUCCCUGCAGUUGAGAAUCUUUUGGUAGUGCUACCAACUCCUUCAAGAGAUCAGUAACAACAUUUCCUCGCGUACCAUCUUCCACCGGAGAUGGAACUACUUUGAAAACCUCCUUGCGUACAUCCUCUACUCAGCGCUGGAGUAUCUUGACAUUAUCAGCCUUGCAGUCUGAUCCCUUAUGCCCCCAUCCUUUACAAACAGCGCAACGCGACGGAAGCCAAGUAUAGUUUACUUCAAUCUCACACUGAUCUCCGUUCUUGUCUUUGAAGACAAUUCUCUCAACUAACGGGUUAUGCAAGUUAACCUCUGCUAAUAUACGAGCUACAUCCAAAUGAGUACACAUUUCCGUAUUGGGAUGAAGUUUUACGAAAUUCCCAGCCGCUCUCAUCAAACACUUCAAGCCAUAUUGAUUGUAUGGUUUGUGUUAUUUUUUAGGGGGAGAUUGAGAUAUUUGGCAAAACAAUAUGUAAGGAAAUUAGGAAGAAAUUAGCAAUACAUGUUAAAUGUGAUAAAAAGAAAGAAAUGAUAAUGAGAUAAAUAAGAAGAUACAAAAUAAUACAAAUACGAAGAAAAUGUAUAAGUCAAUCUGAUAAUUUCAUAUGUAAUUCCACAAAUAUUUGUUAUUACUAAAUACUCAUUAUUUAUUUUGUAUUAAACUUAUGAAAACUUUGCAACUCGAAAUUAUUGUGCAUCAAAGUUAAAUGGGGUGAUAUAUAAGUUAAUGUCAUGAUAUAUAAAUGCUUUAAAAUAUAUUUUACGUCCACUGAUCAUGAGUUCGUUAAUAAUUUGAUCUAACUCAUGUAAAAUAAAUAAUUUUAGCAACUUAGAUUAAUAUUUUGAAUUAUUACUAAAAUUAACGUUUCUAAAAUUAAAAUACUGAAUUUUUAAAAGUUUAAGCUAUUUUGAGUUAAAAAUUAUCUUUUUAUACUUCUAAUCAUUAUUCAAAACUUAUGGGGAUUAUAUGCAUAAUAUAUAUUUUCAUACAAUAUUUAAAUUUGCUAAUUCGCAGACAAUCACUUAGUUAAUAUAUUAUAGUAUAGAAUUUUAUAAAAAUAAACUUCGUGAAGAAUAGUUUUAAUAUAAAACAUUACAUAUUUAAUAUAUUUUUAUAAUUUAUAAACGCAUAAACCACCUAAAUAAUAAUUUAAGGUCUGAUUAGUCGUUAUAGGCGUUAGGUGCUGAGUUACUGUCUGUUUAGCUCCUAACAUGUACACUUGCUUUGAUCUACCGUUGCACAGAUUGUGGAAACAGUAUCAAGUAUAUCAUUCUUGACUACCAUCAACAGCACUGGUGCAUCAAUGUCUUCUCCGACAAUGCAGUCUGCGUAGAAUUACCACCAACCCAUCUAACAACUUGUUUGGUCGUGACGACGUCACACAUAUCCCUGUUCAUUUCACAGUAGAACCCUAGGUACGUAAAUAUUUCAAUCACCAUCUGGUCCUAUUUAUUAUCAAGGGCAUGAUCCCCUUCCUAAUCGUCGUAGGUUGUCGCGCAUGUUUAUUUCCUAUAAAACGAAAGUGUCCUCCUUCAUCGACAUACAAACUGCAACAAAUAUAAAACUAACGUAAUAAUAAAAUAGAAAAUGGAUAUUAAAGAUAUUGUUGUCAACAAAAUCAAAUAAUGACACCUAUUAUAGAGUUAUCAGUUUUGCAUUUAAUAUGUAAAUUAGAGAUAUUUUCUCUAAUUUCUUUUUUUUUUUCACUGAAAAUGCAUUACUUAUAAAAAUUGUCAACCAAAACACAAGUUCUCGCCAAGAAAUUAAAAACAGAGCCUCAAACUCUAAUUUAUUUUCUUGUAUUUAUUUUUAUUCUUCUUUCUUUCACUUUGGAAUGUAAACAAUAAUAUAUACAGAGAUGAAGCAAAAGAUAGAAAAAGAAUAUUUUUACUAUGUGAAAUUAAUACUGAGGAUAGAAGAACAACAAAGCUCUUCUUCUCCGACUAUAGUUGGUGAUUAUAUUUUCUCUUUCAAAUUUUUUUUAUUGGAUCUUACUGAUUAAUCUUAGGAUUAUAAUUUUUUAGAGAUUGAUUUCUCUUUGAUUUUGAUAAAUUAAGGGUUUUGAUUUUGGAUUUGAGAUGAGUUAGUCUAAUAAUAUUAAUAUCUCAUGUUCUUUUUUUAAGAUGGUUUUUAUGAGAUGAAUAUGAAUAAUUAAUAAUUAAUUUAGAUUUAUAAUUAUUUGGGAGUUGGUUUUUUUUUGGAUUUUGAUCAAGAAAAAGAUUUGAUUUUUGAUUUAAGAUCAACUAGUUUUAAUGAUGAGGAGGUGGAUCAACAUGUAAAAGCUUCAGGAAAUUUAAUUAUUGUUACAACAAAACAGAAGCAAGUAUUGUAUGAUAUAAAGUCCGUCUAAAAAUGCCAUUCAUUUGGGUUUAACUUCACAUUGGGUAGUUCAUGGUAAUGAAAAUGUAACCGGAUAUUAUACAUUAUAAUAGAACGUUUGUAAAAUAAAUGGUUAACAUGACCAUAAAUAAAUGAUAUACGUUUAAAUUACCAAAUUAUAAUUAAAACAUCAAAUUCUAAAAAUACUACCUGGUUAUUCAACCACACGUCUGUGGUCGGGUGGUCAAGAUGUUCCGUAGAUUCCUAAAAGGAUCCGAAUUCAAAUUUGCAUCAUUCCAGAUUUCCACGCGUGUGAUCACCGGAGUUUUCACAUUCUCUCCGGAGAAUGGUUUAUCAUUGUUUUUUUUUGUUCCUAAGUGGUUAUUCCAAUUAUUUUAUUAUUAGUCCGAUAAAAAUUGUUAAUGAAUAAUGUUUCUUUCCAGGUAGAUGCAGCCAAAUUCGAUCAGUGACAAACAAGUAUUUAUUGCUAUCGGUGACUACAGAACACUCAAAUUUCCAAUAUGAAUGUCCUUCACUUGAUCUAACGAAGGUGAUCAUGAAAGAUGCAAAACCAUCUAGGUGGAUGAAUCGUCUUAUGAAGUAGUUGGAAAUGUUUGUGGGUAUUUAAAAUAUUCCUUGACAUAAAUAUUGCUAGUAUGGUGUAAUGUGCAUGAAAAUCAGUAUGUAUCCGGCAUGUUGUUUUUUAGUUUUUGAUGGUUAGAUAUAAUUUAACAACUGGAUAAUGUUAUGUAUUUCUAUAUAUGUUUAAUAUAAUUGGUUUUAUUUAAAUAUAACCAGAUUUGUUGAUGUUUAUGUUUAAGUAUAAAUUAUACUCCCUCCGUUUUUUUUAAUAUAAGUCGUUUUGGAGAAAUUUUUAGGUUCCAAAUUAUAUGACGUUUUCGGUUUUCUAUGCAAAAUUUAUUAACACUUAGUGUUAUAUGACUAAUGAUAAUAUACAUUCUAUCCCCUAGACUAUAUUUGCGAAGUGAUUUUGCCACAUGUCCUAUCUACAAUCAUUUUUACAAAAAAAAUGAUGACAUGGCUAACAAAAUUGAUGACAUGGCUUAUAGUUAAUAUGACAUGGACAAUCACAUUUAUUACUGACAUAUAUUUUUGGUACACUUUAUAGAAUAUUGCAAUAACUAAUACAUUACCCUCCACAACACAUAAUUUUAUUAUUGGUUGAUUUGUGGUUAGGUAAGUAGUUAAUGAUGUUUUUGUUUAGAAAAUAUAAAAAAUUAAUGAUUUUUUUAAUCUAUGCAGACAAUUCUAAAAUGACUUAUAUUACAAAACGGAGGGAGUAGUUAAAAAUGAAUUAUAUAACCAGAUUUGUUGCAUUAAAUGUGAGAUAUCAUGUAGAUUUGGUGUCAAAUAUAACUAGUUUUCCUAAUAUGAAAUGGUUCAUGUGUUAUAAAAGGUUCAUGUGUUAUAAAAUAAGUUCUGUAGCAUAAUCCAAACUGUGGAGGAACAUUUUUGUGUCACAACAAUACAUGUUGUGAAAUUUAUGUGGUAGUUAAGAAAUAUAUCAUGAACGAAAUAGCUGAAACGAAAUUAACAAGUUUAUCUAAUAAAAAUGUCAAAUAUUCUGACUGUGUUUAUCUUGUUCUUGCCGUAAACACCAUCUUUUCAUAAGUUUUUAGUUAAAACUCUUCAAAAUAUUCUGAUUGCUAAGUGUAAAUUUUUUGUUUACCUCAAUAACAAAACUCGGCUCAGUUCGGGAAGAACAAGUAUGCAUAAAUACUUGUAUAUAUUAUUAAGGACUCGGGAAGCAUAUUGUUAUGUACUUAUUAGAAGCUUAUAAAAAAUGACACAGUAAUUUGAAGAUCUUCAAUUCUCACGGUCUGACGCAAGAGUUGAUUCGAAAAUUAUAAAAUUUUCUCAUAUUUUUUUGAGAAAAAAGUAGAAGAAAAAAUGAUUGUUGGCUAAAGAGAUGAGGCAUGAACGGAUCAUGUAAUACCCCUGAAAAAAUAUCAAAACAUGUGGUCAUGUUAUGCCCAAAAAUAAAGUUUCACGUGCAGUAGGAAACAGAGAACAUUUUUCAAAAAAGAAAAGAAAAGUUAAAAGUUAGAGAGGUAUUACCAGAGAAGCAAAGAUGGGCUGCAUUGAUCUUAUCAAUUUAACAAGUACCAAUAUUUAUCGGCUGGUGCUUACAAGAACAUCAAACAAACCCUACAUCACAAGAGGAUCAUCGAUGGCUGCUAUUCGAGCUGAGUCAGUGGCUACUGAGAAAUUAGGAAUCUUUAUCGAGAAGAAUCCUCCCGAGUCCAAACUCACCCAACUCGGUGUUCGUAGUUGGCCCAAGUACGCCCUUCUUCGUCUUUAGUUCUUGAUUCGAAACCAAUUAGUAGACACAAUCAUCAAAGCUUUAUUCUUUUUUCUCGCCUGGAAAAGAUGUCUUUAAGCUUUUUAUCGUUGUUGUCGAAUUCAAUCACCGUUGGUUUGGUGAAAUGAUGGAACAGGUGGGGUUGUCCUCCAAGCAAGUUUCCGUGGACUUAUGAUGCAAAGGAGACUUGUUUUCUGCUAGAGGGGAAAGUGAAAGUGUACCCUGAUGGGUCCGAUGAAGGCGUGGAGAUUGAAGCAGGCGACUUUGUUGUUUUCCCUAAAGGGAUGAGUUGCACUUGGGAUGUAUCCGUUGCUGUUGAUAAACACUACCAAUUCGAGUGAAUGGCUAUCAGUUUCUGCUCCGCAUAUUUGGUGAUAUGUUCGAUAUAACUUCACUGUCAUUGUAUGUUGACUUAAUUUUGUGUGUCAUGUAUCAGUCUAUGCAUUGCUGGGAUUUAUUUGCUUCGAUAUCUAAGUGAUUUCUCGUCAUGUAAUGUCCCGUUGCUGGCAUUUCCUGCCCGAUCCUCAUCAUCCUAACUUAGGUUAGAGCGUCGAGGAUCUAGGGGUUUAAUUGUUUUGGUAUGUUCUUUUGGCUGCCUAGGACAGGCUUGAAGUAUGAGACUAUUAGAGAAUUUCGGUUAGAAGUUUUUUUGCGUUAUUUUAGAAUUUUUAAGGACUUUGUGCUUGACAUGUCCUAGGAUAAGCAGAUAAAGAAAACCAGAGAAAUAAAUAUUAGCACUAGAUUUGUUCAUUAUGAAUCUAGCUAUUCAACAAGCCAAAACCCAACACUACACUGAGAAAAUUAGUUUUGCACCUCAUUCGAACUCACCUGAAAAAAAAUGGAGUGAAUAUUUUGAAAAAUACUCAGUGCGGAAACCUCUAGGGACCCCAAAAUGAGAAAAAAAAACGAGGAUAAAUCCCAACAGUUACAACAUGAGACCAUGCAACCUAAAGAGGUAUAUUUGCAUUCCUCAUGUUGCCACGUGAGAGUUCACCACCUAAAUUGAUACCCGUGAGUUCAACGCCUUCACGCAAUCACAUUACCCAAACUUGUCCACGCGUGAUCCGACAAAUUUUAUAACUCCACACACGUCUGCUGACUGCCUCCUCCAGCAAUGAAUUAUGCCACCUCAUUUGAUCCACACAUGACCCAACGAGAAACAAUGCAAAGCUGGAGAAAUACUUCUCUGCGUUACGUUGCACAAGAAUCACAUAGUCUUCAGCCUUUCUCUAACUUCUAUACAUAAUGAUCCAGAUAGUGGUGGAAAAUCCGCAGACGGAUUUGCCUCUGUUACUUUGAGAAUCCAUCAACGGUGGUCGCAAUCCACAGGACUUGGUGGUGGUUAAGGAACUUAUUCUUCCUCCCAUGAUUUGAACAUGAUUUUUAAAGAAGGAGAAGGUGGAGAUUAUCAGCUUCUUUAACAUAUUUGUUCUUUUUCUUGUACUGAUCGUUGUAGUUAAAAAAAUUGUAAUUGCCAACCACAUGGUAAUAUAAUCCCUCAAAUAGGCCUACGGCAGGGGAUCCUUUGUUUCCAUAUCUUUUCAUUAUGUGCACGGAGGCAUUGAUAGAAAACAUUCGUAAAGCCGAACAAUAUAAGAUAUUAAUAUGAUUAAAAGUAGUAAGAGAAAGCCCGGCCAUCUCACAUCUUUUCUUUGCAGAUGAUAACCUUGUCGAAUGUAAAGCGCAAAAGGAUGAAUAUCAGACAAUUUUACAUAUUCUUAAGGAUUAUGGAAAUGUAUCAGGUCAGCAAAUCAGUUUGGCAAAAUCCUCUUUACAGUUUGGGCGCAAGAUUGGGGACACUUGUAAGAUAUAUUAGGGAUCCAAACUUUAGGAGGCAUGGGCUCAUACUUGGGGAUUCCCGAAUGUCUUGGAGGAUCAAAAACAAAAAUCUUCGGAUUCCUCCAAGAGAGGAUGCAUACUAAAGUGAAUGGAUGUACAAUUAUAUAUCUUACCAAAGGUGGAAAGGAAGUGCUUAUAAAAUCUGUGGCAACGGCAAUGCUGAGCCAUGCCAUGUCCUGUUUUUGUCUCUUGGAAGCAACAACCUCGAAGCUAACUACUAUAGUAUCACAAUUUUGAUGCAACAUUGUUGGAAAUAGAAGGGGGAUGCAUUGGAUGGCAUGUGAUAAAUUAUGUCGAAAAAAUAUGAGGGUGGCAUAGGGUUCAAGAAUCUUGACGAUUUCGAUACGUCUAUGUUAGGAUAGCAAUUUUGGCUUUUACAUGAGACGCCUAACUCUUUAUUUGCGAAGGUUUUCAAAGGUCGAUAUUUCAGAAUACAAGCCCGAAAAAAUGAUUGUUGGCUAAAGAGAUGAGGCAUGAACGGAUCAUGUAAUACCCCUGAAAAAAUAUCAAAACAUGUGGUCAUGUUAUGCCCAAAAAUAAAGUUUCACGUGCAGUAGGAAACAGAGAACAUUUUUCAAAAAAGAAAAGAAAAGUUAAAAGUAAAUUAAUUCACGUUUAUCAUUCAUUUACUGUAGACAAGCUCAUCAACCCGACAUCGUAAAUAGACACUUGGUUGAUUUGGCUGAUGCAAUGAUUAUUGAAAGCAUCCCAUUGUGUCAGUAUCAGACUAUAGAUAGAGAUGAAUGACAUUUUACUCAGUCGGGUAGAUACUUGGCCAAAUUUGAAUAUACAGUAGAGCAAAUUUAUCCGGAUAGAGAGAGAGAGACAUAUACCAUUAUUUUUCCAAAUUACCAAGACACUACGGGCGUAGGCAUGGAAAAUAAAAUGUCUCUCAAAGUUGAAACACUUUCUAUGGUAAAUUAUUUCAAGAUGUUUAUCGGUAAUGAAGAAUUUAAAAAGUUGAGGGAUAAAAUAUGAUAUGCAAUGUGAAAGAUGUGGAACAGAACAUGAGUCAGUAAAUCAUGUAUUCUUUGAAUGUUCUCCCGCUAUUCAUACAUGGGCUUUAUCAAGAGUUCUUACAAGUCCAGAUAACUUUCUCAUGCAAUUACUUUAAUCAAAUAUGGAUAACUUGUUCUGAAGGAUUGCAUUACACAUAGAAGAUGAUCAGUUUACUAGGAUAUUAUGGUAUAUUUGGAAAGGGUGCAAUAUGAUAAGGUUUUUAACAGACUUUAUAGAGAUCCUAGAGAUACUCUACAUUUGGCGGAGACGGAAGCAAUGCUACGGAACAAGACUCAAAUAUUAUUGUCACAGAAUGGAACUCAGACACCGGCGACCUAGAAUGGUAAAGAGGAAGUUCGCAAACUGCCUAGCAGGAUAGAAAGAUGGUGUUUCACAUAUGGGUCAUGGAAGAAUAAGAACUUAUUCUCGGGCAAUUAUUGGUAUAGUAAUUUGGAGUGUUUUGAUGGAUUGAUGGGGGAAAGAAAUACUAAGAGCACCUAUCCCCUUUACAUGCAGAAUUUGAAGCCUUUAUAUGGGCGAUGAAAUCUAUGAAGAAUCCCAUGUAACGUUUGCGACAUAUUAUUGUCAGUUGGUGAAGAUAGUUUCAAGACAAUUGUUAUGUAUGAAAACUUUUGAAUAUUAAAAAUAAUUUUAAUUAAUUUAAAACUCGAAAAAUUAUAAUAUUUUACCAAAAAUUUAUGUUAAAGAAUCCAAAAUAAGAUAUAUUUUUAUUUUAAAUCUCAAAAUAAUUAGAUAUUUGUUUAAAUUUAUUUUAUCGUAGUUGAAUAUAGAAUUUAGAUUUAUUACAUUUAUAAAUUAUUAUUUUUCAAAAAAAUUAUAUUUUAAUAAAAUAAUUAGCAAUAUAUUUUUAUGUUUUCUUAAAAAAAUUAUACAAUAUUUUAGAUCGCUUUUAUCUACUUUCAACAUUUAAACAUAUGUUGUGGAUUGCUAGAUCCACUUUAUGUACAUUUAUACCAUUAGAUCUGUGUGAUGGUCUACUCUUGAUCCGCACUGCUUAAUUUACCUAUUUUAUUUACUUAACAGGUUCAGCAAACAACAAAUUAUAUGAGGUUUCGACUUUGUAUUAAGCCCGCAACAUAAAUAAACAUCUUGGCCAAUUUACUUCUCACGAGGAUACUGCUUUCACCAACACAACCAUGGCCAAGAUAAGAGAACCUAACAUACUGUGUCUAUGUUCGUCAACCACAGAGACAGAUUACACAGAGAAAGUGAUUCAGUUGCAUGUUUAUGUUAGAGUUUCCAUUAGGGUUGGGGUUUUGAUUUAGGAUCUCUUUUGUGUUAAGGUUUCGAUUCUGUUCACUAUAAAAGGGUUUCAAUUUUAUGUUCUCUAGAGUUUGGAUUCGGUAAAGGACAUCCAUUAAAUCUUGCGAUUAGUAUUUAGGGAUCGUGGUUAUGUUUUUGUUAUUUAAAUCUCUCCCAACUCAUACCUCUUCACUCUUUCACAGAAACGCAACAGUGAAGACCACAAAGGGAUCCUUCCUUAGAUCAAGUACGUCCUGUGACUCCUGGUACACCUUAUUCCAUGACUCAUGGAGCUGUUGGUUCUUCUAGUCCGGCCUCUUCUGCUGCUAACUACACAGGAGAACCGAGGACGCUUUGCUACGUGCUCCCACAAGAGAAAACAAGCCACACCUCCAUCCAAGGAAGCUCAAUGGAGCAUUGGAGCUUUGUGGUAAGUUAGCUCAUUACUUUUGUUUCUUGAAUUUAGUAUGAUGCUUCUGUUUAGUCUAGAUAUAUUAACGGGAUAUAUCUGUUAUAAAAUAUUUGGGCCAUUUACUCGUAAAUAGCAAGUGAUAGAACGGGGCAAAGGUUUGUAUAUAUUAUAUUUGUUCACGCCGGAUAUUAUAAUUUUUAGAAGGAUAUCCGACGCCCGGAUAUCCGCGAACUUCGGAUCCGGAUAAGGAUAGUAAAAUUACGGAUCCGCCGGAUAAGGAUCCGGAUCCGGAUAUCUUAAAAUUGCCCGGAUACCCAAUCCGUCCCAGGUCUAGUGUCCAUAACAUGUAAACUUCAUUUAUAUGUUGAAACAAACUAUAACGUCCCAGACCACCAUUGUUGAUGGGCUUUCUGUGCCCGCUCAAUCGGUAUGUAGACUCCAUUAGGUGCAACUGGACGGUGACUUAAUUUUUUGAAAGAUCAUAAGUUUUGUUUUCUGGUUGAAAUACCAAUGAGUUCUCCUCUUGCUUUAGCUUCACUCGCACAGUAUCACGAAUCACUUUUUCAUAAAUAACGCAUCAUUCCACUAUAUAUUCCAACUAAAACACGCUUAACUCAGGAUUUUUUUCUUGAAGAAUGUGAGCCCAUACAAAACUUGUAAUGCCCUGAUCUCCCAAGGCUAAUGGCCUCCCAGACCCUGUCACUCGGUCCGUGGGCCCAUCCCUUGUGACCGGCGGUGAGAUAAAUUUUUUGGAGGCUUAUAACUCUUGUUUACUGACCAUGUAAUCACAACAUGAUCUCUAUAUGUGCUUUAGUCUCAUUCGCACGAUAUCGUGAAUCCUUUCCUGAUAUGUUACUCAUCCUUCCUGAUAGGCCAUGAAUUAUACCCACUUUUAGCCAUGGUUUAUAAGUGUUUUAAUAUAUAUUUACUACUAUAUAGGAGUCUAUUUAGAGUAUUUACAGGUUCAAGGACGAUUUGGAGGAAAACGAUAAUUUUGAUGUCUUUUGGAGCUUUUUUUGAGUGUAUACCUGCACAGACACAUCAGAUGUUUAGCUAUGGAUGGAGGACCUUCCCACUUUUAGAUGGAGCCCAUAUUUUGACACUAGAUAGAUAUUUUAGUUAGAUUUCCAAUGCCACCGGUUUGAGGUCAAUCAGCAUCCUAUAGCAGACGUUAUGCCUGUUUUACUGAAGAGUGGUCAAUCUGCCUCGCGAGAGGAAGCUGCCGAGGAGAUGAGGGACUGUCGAUCCAUGGUGCACCCUUGCCAUCGAUCGACAGUGAUGCCAGAACGUGGGCCAAGCAUUAUUUCAAGACCGACUGAAGUCCAGAAGCCACACAAAGUUACCAAAAUACCCAUAGACGACCAGAAACCCUAUUUAUGUUAUUUAUAAGCCAUUGUUGACGGCUACACUAUCUAAGCUUUCUUUAAUUCAUAGUUCCAGGUUAGGUGAGAAAGGAGGAACUCCUUCAGAGUCUUCCUGGAACUCCUUUGGUUUUUAUAUUUUAUUCUAUAGCAAUUUCAUCUAUUCAUCUAUGAUUUCUGUGAUAAACUUCAUGCUUGAAUAUAUUCACCUAUUAGGUUUAGGGUUCAAAUAUGUUAUGAGGGAUUAGCUCCAACUAUAGAUUUCUAAGUUGUGAUAUUCAUCUUUAGGAUUGUCAUUAUUGCCUGUUUCUAGAUUAGCUACCUAGAACUUUCCCUAGGAGUUGUAGACAUAAACGAUAGCUUGCAUCUCACCAUGAAUCCAUCCUAACUGAGCUAAGAUUGCUAGAGUAAGGCGAGAGCUGAUCUAGGAAGCUUAGUGAGCACAUUCAACCCGUGCAUUAACGCUUGACCAAAAGCAUCGAUCGAUAUUCUAAUCGAAUAAUCGGUUGACGUUUCAACAAGUGUAUCGAUCAGUAUUCCUUUAGAAUCAUCAAUCAACACUGGUCAAUAGACAAACCUAGAAAGCGAGGGCCGAAUGGUUUGUUUAUAAGUGUUGAGCUAUAUAAUAUCAUGCAUACAACUUGCCAGGCAUCUGUAGGAUCAUAAUCCUGAUUUCCUGAAUAGAAACCCUAGAUCUAGAACCCCAUCCUUCCAUCAAACAACUCAAUCAAUCAACCGAGCAACUAUCUUGCUCACAAACCUGUCUUUUACAUUUAAUCAUAAUCAACCUAGCUUAAUCAUAUAACUAUUAGAUUUUUUGUGUGCCCUAGCUCCCUGUGAAUUUGAUAUCUAAGUACUACAACUCGACCUCUUAUUUGAGAGAGUAUAAAUCACUCCUUAGGGUAAUAUGAGUGAGAUCAAAUUUGGUGCCAUUGCCGGGGAGCUUUGAUCGCCAUUAGAUCUUAUUUAGUUAGAUUUAGUCUAGGUUAUACUACUGUUCUAAAACUGAUAAAAAAUUCUUCUGUUUUAGGUACAUACAUCUUAGUACCGGGAACAACAAUGAAGAGAAAAUUUCUAGGUCCUUCAAAGAAAGAGCCUGCUGAUUGGCGCACGAUCCGUAAGUCUACGAGGGAAGCAUCGAUCGACACCCUCCAAGCAACAUCGAUCGACAGCGUGAACCAGUAAUCAAUCGACAGCAACACAACGCCAUCGAUCGACUUUACUUGCAAGAAGGCAGAGAAGGUAGAGAUACUCAUUGCUGAGAGGGAUGACUUUGAUCUGAAACCUACAUAUAUCAAGCAUAUGCGUCAGCAUCCCUUUCAUGGCUUUCCUCACGAACAACCAAUGGAUCAUAUCAACAUGUUUUAGGAAUUGGUAUUGUUUAUCUUCAAUGAAGUCCACGAAGACCACCACUUCUGCAAAAUCUUCCCAUACACCCUAGCUGGAGAUGCAACUCACUGGUUCAAUAAUCUACCACCAAGAUCUCUCACUACCUCGAAUGACAUGAGAGAUGCCUUCCUCAACAAAUUUUUCUAUGAUGCUGCAGCAAAUCUAGAGAUUGAGAUGGAAUCUAUAAGGAGAUAUAUGAUAGAGGGUGAUGAACAACAUGUAUAUGGAGAGCUGAGCUGAGUAGAAGAAGCUGACAUUAAUGGUACGACCUCAACGUCUACCGACAACAUGACUUCAACGUCGAUCGACGGUACAACCUCAACGUCGACCAAUGACACGACCUCAACGUCGAUCGAUGGUACGAACUCCGAAAUGAUCGACAACACCUCAGCAGCGAUCGACAUAGACUUUUGUCAUCGAUCGAUACCACUCGAAAUCCCUGAAAGAUCGAGUUGUCCUCAGGACAUUGAAGACUCGACCCAUAAGAGCACUGAUGUAUCAAGUAUUUCUCCUGCCCCAGAUGUAGAAAAAGAAAUCAUCACAUAAGAUUUCUUGGAGCUAGAAGAGUUCUUGGAGUUUGAGGAUGGAGAAAAACUUGAAGACUUGGAUUCGAGUAGAGAAGUCACUAUGGAAGACUUCUUAGAGCUGGAGGAGUGGCUUGAAGAUAUGAAUCAUAAUUCGAAGAAGAAGCUUGAUGACGAUCAGCAUACUUCGAGAGGAGAUCUGGAAACUUCACCAAAGGCUAGCAUCAAUCGACACCAACCUGAUGAGAUCGAUCGACAACCACCCCACAUCAUCGAUCAACGCCCACCCUAUAUCAUCGAUCGACAAUCAGCAGAUAGCAUUGAUUUACACCCACACUCCAUCAUCGAUCGACACCCACCCGAUUGCAUCGAUCGACACCCAUGGUUGGAUGAACUGCCAGGAUACAUAGUCGAGCUGGAACAAGUUGAGGAAAGGAUGUACAUGUCAAAGGUCUCAUACCCUGCUGUCCACGAACAUCAGAGACCACAUAUCUGUGCAGAAGAAGCUACAUGGUUUCACAAGAGAGUGAAAAGGAUACAUGACCCUGUGAUGAUUGUGGUUCCUUGCGCAGUAUUUUAAGUUGAAUUUCCUAUCCUACCAGAUAAAGGUGCGCAUCUGAGUUCUUACGUUGAGGUGUUGGAUGAUCAUCUACACGUAGAAGCUUCUUAGAGAGUGUUACGAUUUAUAGAUGAAGUCGAUAAGGGCCCAACAGAAGGAACAUCAAUCGACACCAACAGGAUACCAUCGAACGACACCAAAAAACCAGUAUCGAUCGACACUACCACUUCUCCAUCGAUCGACAUUGGGCGCAUACCAGAGAAGGAGUUCGAUGUAUGUGGAAAUCUUUUUGAUGGAGAAACCACCACGCGAUCAGAAAAGUCUAGGGGAAAGAAGAUGAGGAAUUGGAAGAAGAGGAAAAGGAACAAGAGAGGUUCUCAGUUAUCAUUGAUUCCUCACUCCUCAGAUGGUGUCAGGAAAUCCAGAGUAUGCAGCAAAUGCUUCUCACAACCAUUUGAAAAGCUUCAAGCAUUCCUUAUUGCUGAGAUGAUAGACAAAGGAGAAGAGUCUAUGGAGGAGGCUUUCACACAAGAAUGAUAAAGCUUCAGAGAGCAGAUAUUGAGACUUGUUAUGGAGAAUGUUCUCAUUCUCAUCCGGACUAAAUCACAUCUCCAAAGUCAAACUAAAUGACUAUAACAAAGCACUGAGUGGGAGGCAACCCACUAUUAGGUAAUUUCAUUCAGUUUAUGUUAGAUUGUUACUGAUUUUUGUUUUUAUUUUUAUGCUGGUAAAAAAAAAAAGUGAACAGUAACGACGGUACAGUGGCAGCGCCGAACGACACUGUAGCAAGAAAAAUCGAGCUACACUGUAGCAGAAAAUCGGGAGUUACUGUAACAGCGAUAAUGUAGCAGAGCUACGGUAGCAGUCACUGUUCAUUAGAAAAAAAUAUAAUUGGUUUUAUUAUUUAUUUAUUACUGACUUUUAGUGUUUUAUUUUUGUUAGGUAAAAGGAAAUAGAUACGAGGAAGACGAGUUCUGCACCAGCAUCGAUUGACAACCGGCCGGUGUCGCACGACAGAGCAUCACAAAUAUUGAUCGCCACUUAACUGUGUUGAUCGAUACUCACAUCAAUGGCAUGUAUGCUCGCGAAACCUUUUUAAUAUUGUCCUUAUGAUUUAUUUUCCCACCAAUCUUAGACUGUAUAACAUUGGUCACAGUGUUGUUUAAGUCUGGGGGAGGUUCUACUAAUAUUGUGUUUUAUGAUGAGUCUUAAAAAAACAGAUCCGAGUAGACGAUUCCUCAGCACAUCGACCGAUGAGACCAGCUAAAUAUCGAUCGACAGCACUUCAGAUCCAACGAUCGAUUGUCUCUUCAUUGUGUUGAAUGAUUGCUCUAGCCAUCGACCAAUGAGACCAUCUUGCUAUCAUUCGACAGCACUUCAACAACAUCGAUGGAUUGUCACUUCAUUGUGUUGAUCGACAUUGACAUCAGCGAGCAGGUUAUCGUUCUUACUUGUUAAAUUGUGUAUUUAUGUUUAUGUUAUUACUAUAACUCCGACUGAAUAUACACUGGGGACAUUGUAGUUUAAGUCUGGGGGAAAAUUUACUAAUAUUAAGUUUACUUCAUGAGUCUUAUUAAAAUGUUUUCAAAAAAAAAAAUUUAUUGAGUCAAGAAGGGGACAAUGAACUUAUUGAUUUUGCUUAUUAUCUAACCACAUCAUUCUAGAGUUACUAGUUGCAGAUAACACUAAAGAUACCAAAGUGGAUCAACCUGUCAACUAUGUUACACUUGCUGAGAAUGUUUCAAGGAACGAAAGCUGACCUCCAACCUAAUUGAGCUCAACUCUGCUUGUCUUGGGGCUUGGUAUACAUGGGAUCGGAUUAUUCAAAAAAUAUCUGGAAGGUAAAGCCUUGUGUAGAUUUAUCACCCUCUCUCUCUAUUUCAAAAUUUAGAUUAUAAAGAAAAAUUCUAUAGGUAAAUAUAAUUACAGAUAAUAAUUUAGGAAAAUAAUUCGAACCGGACUUGGUGGCUAUAACCAUUAAGGCUUGAUUCAUAAGAAUUCUAUAGGUAAAGAAUUCAAACAGGACUUGGUGGCUACAACCAUUAAGGCUUGAUUCAUAAGAAUUCUAUAGGUAAAUGAUUAGAACAUGACUUGGUGGCUACAACUAUUAAGGCUUGAUUCACAAAUAAUCCUAGGAUAUAGGUCAAAAAGAAGUGAACAGGAUUUGGUGGCCAAAACCAUUAAAGCUUGAUUCAUGGAAACCUGUCCAAUCUUGGUCAAUGAUCUUGCAAUAUAAGCAGACUUUGACUGAGAGAGAAAUUAGUAGAGAGAGGAAAAUAACUCUUAUUUACCUGCAGGUCCAGAUACUUGUUUGAGCAUCCUUGCAUCUUGUGAUCGAUACUCCCAAAGUAAAGCCUACACUUUUAUUUAUGUAAGAAUUGAGGUUGAUAGAGUGGAUUGCCAGACAUGAUUUGCUAAGUUGUUGACUAGAUGAAUUUGGUUGCUAAUUGGUAUAAUGUGAUUCUGAGAUUAGGAUUUCCUAAGGUGAUGAUUCUGAGUUUUAAAUUUGUGAGUCCCUGCUGUUUUCAAAUCUCUUUUAGAGAGAAUGCAUGUAUGUUUUGCUGGAGGACAAGCGAAAGAGUAAGUCUGGGGGAGUUGAUAGGCCAUGGAUUUUACCCACUCAUAGCCAUAGUUUAUAAGUGUUUUAAUAUAUAUAUUUACUACUAUAUAAAGUCUAUUAGAGUAUUUACAGGUUCAAGGAUGAUUUGGAGGAAAGUGGUGAUAUUGGUGUCUUUUGGAGCCUUUUUGAGUGUAGAGCUGGACAGACGCGUCAGAUUUUUAGCUAUGGAUAGAAACUUUCACACCGUUAUAUUGAGCCCAUUUUGGUUCACUAGUUAGAGAUUUGAGUUAGCUUUACAAUUCCACCGAUUUGAGGUGAAUCAGCAUCCUAUAACAGAAGUUAUGCCCGUUUUACUGAAGAGUGGUCAGUCUGCCUCGCGAGAGCAAGCUAUUGAGGAGAUGAAGGACUGUCGAUCGAUGGUGCACCCUUGCCAUCGAUCGACGGUGAUGCCAGAACGUGGGCCAAGCAUUAUUUCAAGACCGACUGAAGCCCAAAAGCCACACAAAGUUACCAAAAUACCCAUAAACGAUCAGAAACCCUAUUUAUGUUAUUUAUAAGCCAUUGUUGACGGCUACGCUAUCUAAGCUUUCUUUAAUUCAUAGUUCUAGGUUAGGAAAGAAAGGAGGAACUCCUUCAGAGUCUUCCUGGAACUUCUUUGGUUUUUAUAUUUUAUUUUAUUGCAAUUUGAUAUAUUCAUCUAUGAUUUCUGUGACAAACUUCGUGCUUGAAUAGAUUCACCUGUUAGGUUUAGGGUUUAAAUAGGUUAUGAGGGAUUAGCCUCAACUAUAGAUUGCUAAGUUGUGAUAUUCAUGUUUAGGAUUGUUAUUAAUGCCUGUUUCUAUAUUAGCUACCUAGAACUUUUCCUAGGAGUUGUAGACAGAAGCGAUAGCUUGCAUAUCACCCUGAAUCCAUCCUAACUGAGCUAAGAUUGCUAGAGUAAGACGAGAGCUGAUCUAGGAAGCUUAGUGAGCACAUUCAACACGUGCAUUGACGCUUGACCAAAAGCAUCGAUCGAUAUUCUAAUCGAAUAAUCGGUCGACGUUUCAACAAGUGUAUCGAUCGGUAUUCCUAUAGAAUCAUCGAACGCCACUGUUCAAUAGACAAACCUAGAAAGCGAGAUCCUAAUGGUUUGUUUAUAAGUGUUGAGCUCUAUAAUAUCAUGCAUACAACUUGUUAGGCAUCUGUAGGAUUAUAAUCAUGAUUUCCUGAAUAGAAACCCUAGAUCUAGCAACCAUGCUUUCAUCAAAAAAACUUAAUCAAUCAACCGAGCAACUACCUUGCUCACAAACCUGUCUUUUACAUUUAAUCAUAAUCAACCUAGCUUAAUCAUGUAACUAUUAGAUCUUUUCUGUGCCCUAGCUUCCUGUGAAUUCGAUCCCUAAGUACUACAACUCGACCUCUUAUUUGAGAGAGUAUAAAUCACUUCUUAGGGUAAUUUGAGUGAUAUCAAUUCCACAACUCUACAUCAAGCACACUCAAUUCUGGAAUUGUUUUGGAAGACCUAAAAGAUAAAUAUACUUUGAUGAUGUAGUCAAAUUAUUGUUUUUAUAACCUUUUCAAACGUGUACCACAAACCGGGAUAUUACAAACAUUUUUUUUUGUAACAGCAACAAUAUGUUCUUACUUCUUUUUGGGCCAGAAUGGGCCAGCUCUUUAGUCCAAUGCCCUUGAAGAAUGCCACUGGACUGCGAUUACUUCUUGAAUCUCAUUAUGCUAAUACACCGUGAUUACUAUACGGUUGAUGUAUCUACGAAUCUUGCAAGGAAACUGCAUUUUACAUUGAAUACUAUGAUAAAGACCCGCGCUUUGUGCAGAUUAAAUUAUAUUAUUAAAAAAUUAAACAUAUUGUAUUGACAAAUUUAAGAUUUAUAUAUGUUCAAAUUGUUUUUAUAUGUAUACAAUUUUUGAUUGUUUAUAUAAUCAUCUAUAUGUUGGGCCGACACAUUUGGAUAUAUUUUUUAGUAAUUUAUCAGUAAAUAAAAUUUAUAUAUUUUCGAUUUUGAAGUUACACUAAUUUCAGAAUAUCAUAUUUUUACUUUCAUUUUGACAUAAAAUAGAAAAUUAAAGUAUUAAAAAGAUAAUUACAAAUUGGGUUAGGCUUAUAAUUUGAAGUAUAAUUUGGUUAUGGGCCUAAUAGAACAUAAAAUUUUACAGUCCGACUAUUAUUAUACUAAAGGCCUAAAUAUAGAAAGAUGAUGGUAUUAUGGAAGUUAGGUUAACGUGAUAUAUAUCACUAAUUACUAAGAAAUGUCAUUAUUAAUGCUUUCCUAGACUACGAAAAACAAUUAGACAGGUGCCAAAGCUUUUUCUUAAUCUUCAAUAUAAAUUUCACAAUUUAAGUUCUAAAGAAUUGUGUAGCAAGGAGAAAUAUUUUAUAUAUAAGUUUAUCUAGUAAUAACAAAACAACUUAAUUUUUAUAUUACUCUUUAUAUAAAUUUCUGUAGACGAGGAAGGCUUAAGAACUGAACAAUAUUCUUCUUUUUUUUUUCUUUUAUUAACAAAACAAUUUUGAAUAGAUGUGUCUCUUUGCUAUUAAUAAAAAAAUCAACACUUAAAAAAAUCAUUACUAAAAGCAUGCAAUAUUUCUGUCAUAAUAUAUAGCAAACUUUGAUUUAAAUUGCUGUCCAAAUAAUACGGACUAAGAAUAUAUCUUACACUUUGUUAAAAAAAUUAUAAUGUUGGAUCACAAUAUAAAUCAAAUUUGAGCCAUUUAAAGAAAGUCUCAUAAAAUGAGAUCGCCGAGUAUUAAUUUAAUGAGAUCACUGAGUAUUAAGUUUAUCAUAUCAUAUACAUUUAUGUUUGAAUUAAUAUAAGUUUUCCUGACAAUGGAUUUUGGACUUACGAGCCACGUAAGCCAAAUUGAUAUCUUAAUUAAAUGACACCUAAGACUUUUUUUUUUAAUUAAUACAAACUUAAGAUUAUAACUUCUUAAAUGUUUAUCUAUUAAUAUAUAGGAGAUGAUUGAGAUGUUUAAUGAUUUGGGUUAAAAAUAAUUUGAUGAAAACUUUCAAUUUAAAUAUGCAAAUUGAAAUCACAUUGUCUUACAUGAAACUUUUGUAUGUUUUAACUAAAUUUAUUGUAACUUUUCUAAUUGAUCGAAAUCAUCUUUAAACUUUAUUUGAAAAUAAAUUAUUUUGAAGCUUCCUAAAUAUAAAAGAUUAGAUACACCUUUUAAAAUUUAACUUGGUUUUAUGAUUGUCUGGUUUUAAAUUAAAUAAGUUUUAAAUGAAAAACAUUUAUUUAAAUUACAUUUUUCUAAUUCUGGAAAGUUAAAAUAUACAUGAAUAAAUGAGUCAAAAAAACAGGUAAAUCAUAACUUAACACUGAUCCAAUAUAUAGAAACCCUAAAAUAUGGGCUUAAUAAAAGAAGAAGCUAAAAUGUAUGAAUCAAAUUAUGGGGAACAAAUUGAAUUAGCCACUAUAUAUUUUUUCACAUGAUCCAAAAAGAAUCUCAGAAGCACUAAUCAGACAUCGGACGAAGGAAAUAAUAUCCAAAAAAGCGUUUUUUUUUCCUGGUUUGAUGUACGUGACGAAAGCUUUUUUUAUUCAAACUAGAAUAAUAAAGUUAUGGAAAACAUAUGGAAUAUUUUUUUUUGACAAUAAAACAUAUGGAAUAUUAAAUGGUCAAAUAUUAAAUCCACUAAAAGAAGUUUUUUUCUGAAGUAUUUUCAUGUCUUUCUCCAGCAUGAGGUUAUGAUGGCAAGACGUGGAUUCUUUUCGGAAAGCCUUAUUUAACGUACUAUAUAAUUAGUCUAUUAUAGACGAUAAAGGUUACUAAUUUAUUAUACUUUAUUGGAAUAUUUAAUUAACACUUCCAAAAACUACGAACUUUCGGGCCGAUCACUGAUAGAUGCUUUGAGGUUCUCUUUAUUCGAUGGUUAGGUAAAUUAGGGCUGGGUUUUUGUACGCGAAACCCGAUUAUUUGAACUGGAUUCGACUAAAAAUAGACUAAUUCAAAUCGGUUUUGAUAUCGAGUUUUAUCUGAUGGGUAUUGUCAUGAAUACUUGUUGGUAUCAGUUUGGUUCCGGUAUUACCAGGAAUCGAUCGGAUACUCUUUUAAAUCAAAAUUCAUAUUUUAAAAUAGAUAUUGCACGUUUUAAGACUCUCUAAUCCAAGUUGAUAAAAGCAAAUUUUCACUCGUAUUACCACUGACCACUUAAACUGUUUGGAACUUCUUUCACUUUAUAGAUAUAUAUACCUUUCUUAUUCCAAAAAAAAAAAGAAAAAUAAUGAAAAUAGAUAAAUAUAUUAUUUUUGGGUUUACUUGAACCCACCUGGAUCAGAAUCGAAAAUCUACCAAGUCCUACAUAGGUACAAUUUUACCCAUUUCACCAGAACCAAUCAGAUACUUCUUAAAACUAACCUGAAAAUCCAAAAUCCUAGUCUUAGGCCAAAUAAUUAGAAUGUUUUAUACUAGAUAUAAACAGGCCCGGCUCAAAAGAAUUUUGGGCCCUUGGCAAAAUAAUCAAAAAUUUUUUUUUUUACAUAAUUAUAUGAUAACUUAAAAAUUUCGGGCCUUAUCUUCAAUUUUUUUAAAAAUAUUGGGCCCCUUUUCAAUACUAUUUAUGCAAAAAAUCUUUUGGGCCCUAGGCCAAUGCCCCUUUGCCCACCCUCCUGAGCCGGGCCUGUAUGCGUGUCACACGCGCUUGUCCUUCGGUAUCCCACUUUCUCUUUGCUGAUGAUAGUCUUUUCUUCUGUAAGGCGGAGCCCCGUGAAUGUGAAGAAGUAAUGAAAGUAGUCAGGACAUAUGGUAAAGCAUCUGGCCAAUGUAUUAACUUUGACAAAUCUUCCUUACUCUUUGGUAAGAGGAUUAAUGCAACUACUCGGCAAGAGAUUAAAGAUGUACUCGGCAUACAUAAUGAUGGUGGGAUGGGAAAGUACUUGGGAAUUCCAGAGGAUAUUAGUGGCUCUAAAUGCAAACUCUUUGCAUUCCUAAAGGAUAACCUGAUGCAUAGAGUAAAUGGAUGGACAGGUAGAUGGCUCUCAAAAGGGGGGAAGGAGGUAAUGAUCAAAUCCAUUUUGCUCGCUCUUCUGACAUACGUUAUGUCGACGUUUCUGCUCCAAUUGGAGAUUUGCGAAAACCUCGCUAGUGCCAUUGCAAAAUUUUGGUGGAGUUCGAAUCCACCAAAAAGAGGAAUACACUGGACGAAAUGGGAAAAAGUUUGUCUACCAAAAGAAGAGGGCGGGAUUGGCUUCCGUUUAAUCCAUAAGUUUAAUCUAGCACUAUUGGCAAAUCAAUUAUGGAGAUUGAUUCAGUACCAUGAUUCACUGGUUGCCCGAGUCUUGAGGGGCAUAUACUAUAGGAUGACCUCGCCAUUAGGAGCAAUUUCUUCAAGUAGUCCAUCAUAUGUGUGGACAAGCAUUUACGCCGCAAGGAAGCUUUUUCUUCUGGGGAUCAGACAGAAGAUUCAUUCUGGUUAUGAAGUCAAAGUGUGGGAGGAUCCGUGGAUUCCAACGAUACCUGCUAGACCAGCUACACCUGUAGCACCUGUGAUGCACCCGAAUAUGAGAGUGAGUGAUCUCAUUAACCAAGAUUUGAAGGAAUGGGACGUAGGGUUACUGGAGGCUUAUGUCCACUCCGAUGACAUAUCUCUCAUACGUAGUAUGGCCAUAAGCUCUACUCAUCGCCGUGAUACUUUCUGCUGGAACUACACGAAGAAUGGCCAGUAUACAGUUAAAUCUGGGUAUUGGGUUGCUCAAAACCUGUUGAAGCCAGAAGAGGAAAAAGAAAUAUUGGAACCAAGUAUCACUACACUUCAGGCCUUUGCUUGGAAGUUAAAAGCACCAAGGAAGAUGUGCCAUCUUAUAUGGCAAUUGAUAACGGGUCAGGUGGCAGUAACGAGGAACCUAGUAAGGCGGAAUAUGAGGUGCGAUAAUUAUUGCCCAAGGUGUGGAGAAUUAGAAGAAUCUGUAACACAUGCAAUAUUUGAAUGCCCUCCAGCACUCCAAGUAUGGUCCCUAUCAGCAACUCCUACAAGCCCACGUAUAUUUCCAGUGGCAAGCGUCUACACGAACAUGGACUAUCUAUUCUGGAGGAAGAAUGAAAUCUUAUAACCAGACCAAGACAGGGAUCCUUAUCCCUGGAUAAUAUGGUAUAUUUGGAAGGCUCGUAAUGAUAAACUUUUCAGGGGAAUAGACAGAGACCAAUUGGAACUAGUUCGAUAUGCAGAAAGUGAAUGUCAAGCCUGGUUUAAUGCAAACGACAUAAUACCACCAGUAGUUCAGGUCAUCAAUAAUGAGGAAAGCCAAGCCUUAAGCUUGGGUAAUAUUUGCCUAUUAGAUGGAUCUUGGACAGCUUCUGAUCGCUUUAGUGGAUGUGGAUGGGUCUGAAUAGAUAGCGGGGAGAACACACAACUUAUGGGAACACGGAAUUUCAUGAGAUGUGAAUCAGCAUUGCAUUCGGAGGUAGAAGCACUGCGAUGGGCGAUGGAGAAUAUGCUUCAACACUCGCCAUGCCAGAGCUUUGGAACAGAUUGCAAGGAGCUGAUAGCAAUGAUAAAGGAACCCCAAGAGUGGCCAAGUUUCGCGACAGAACGCAAGGAGCUGAUAGAAAUGAUAAAUGAACCCCAAGAGUGGCCAAGUUUCGCGACAGAAUUGGAGAAGAUAGAGACGCUGCAGAUUUGCUUCCCGGACUUCAAAAUCACCCAUGUACCACGAGUGCGCAACCAGUUUUCUGAUUUUUUGGUUAAAACUGCUAGGACCUUUCGUAGAGAGUUACUUUUCAUUGGUUGUUCUAUUCUGGUCUGGUUACCCAGACCACCUCAAAUAAAUGAAUUUAACAGUUCAACCAAAAAUAUAUAUUAAGUAUUUGUAUUUUUUGUAAACAAACUUAUUUUUUUGUUCUCACAAAACAACCGAAUCAAUUUAGUUAUUUUUGGUUAGUUAUAUAUAUGCCAAAGAACAAACUACAAACCCAUAGAUUUAAUUAUAAUCGGAACUAGAUUUCGACCUGCGCUUAGAAAGCGCGGGUUUAUUUUUGAAAUUAAAUAAAUUGUUCUUAUAUAAUUUCUAUAUUAGAUAAUGUAUAGGUUUGGAUACAUUCACCGGGGUGCACUGAACCGUACCAAACUGAAAAAAAAAAUUAAGCUGAAUUUCAUAAAUAACUGAGCAUAUCCUAUAUCUUUAGAACCGAAAAAUAGAAACCGAACUGAGAACCAAAUGAGUACAUAAACUUUUAAAAUACAAAUUAUAUACCUACAGAUAUUAAUUAUAUUUAAUUUAUAAAUAACCAAAUAUCCUAAAAAUACUAUUUAUAAACCAAAUUAUGCAAAAAAAAAAAAAUUAGUGACUCGAAUAUUUUUUAUUCGAAUAAUUAAUAGUUAAUUAUUUAUCCUAUAUUUUUUUUUGCAAACAGCCUAAACUACCCGAUUAAAGCGCAAUAUAUUUUACAUUUGUGAAAAUUCAAUAUAACGUAUCAUAUGCAUUGUUAGAAUUUGUAAAGUAAAUAAACAUGUUCUAUUUAAACAAAUAUUUUUUUUUACUAAUUACAUUUAAAUCUCCAACCCGUUUAGACAAUUUGAUAUUUUUUUUAUGAUAAUAUUAAUCACUUAGUUCAUAUAUAAGAAUGUAAAAUCAAAUCUUAAUAAUUGAUUGCAUGUAAUUAAUUAAAUUAAUGUUUCAUAGUUGAAUAGUUGACAUUAAGGUUUUUAGUUUCCAAUUCACAUAAAAAUGAAAAAA
rnacentral:lncRNA from 1 species